UUGGGUAUCUCUGAAGAACGGCUUACACUGGAGAAGCUUACGGCUCCUCCAAAGAAAUCUUCUUCUGAUCAUGUGUCUGAUGAUGAGUGAACCUAGGUUUUAUGUUCACAGCCGGAGGGGUUGUGCCUAGCAUAUUUUUUCUUUUGUUGGUGGCUACUUAUUAUUUAAACUUCUAGGUCCCUAUGCACUCUUGGUCCAUUUUGUUGUGGUUUCUUAUACUGCUUUGUUAUGCUUAGCAGUACUGGACUAAAUUAUGUUGGUUUCUUAUGGAUAGUACAACUUAUCGUAAUUGGCAUGUGCUUUGCUGGAAUGUCCGUGGUUUGAAUUUUGAAGCUCGUCAGAGAGAUGUGAGAGAAAAAAUCGAGGAAAGUCGGUGCUCUAUUGUAUGCUUGCAGGAGACAAAAGUGUGAUGAUUUUGAUAUUCGCAAAAUGCGGGCUUUCUGUCCUAGGUGCUUUGACACUUUUGUAUUUGCUCCGUCAGUACGUGCCUCAAGUGGCAUCCUGGUAGUUUGGAAUUCCUCCAUCUUUAAGGGGACUUUGAUUCAGAUAUAGAGUUUUGGUGUGGUUGUUUCUUUCCAAUCAGUUCAUAAUGUUUAAAAGUUGACACUAGUGUCAGUUUAUGGACCCUGUGAUGGUCCUCCAAGAGAUAACUUUGUUAACUAAUUAUAUCACCUGAAUAUCCCCACGAACGAAAACUAGUUAUUGUUAGGAGAUUUCAACAUCAUUCGCUCUUUGGAUAAUAGAAACAUACCGGGAGGCAAUGUCAAUGACAUCUUCCUAUUUAAUGAAAUCAUUGGACACUUAGGUCUGCUUGAAUUAUCUUUGAAGGGUAGGAGUUUUACUUGGUCCAAUAUGCAAGAGCAACCUUUAUUAGAGCAACUAGACUGUUUUUUCAAAACAUCAGACAUGAUUUCUUUCUAGCCAAAUACAAUUAUCCUGCCUCUAGCAAAAACAUCUUCGGAUCAUGUGGACAUGCCAGGGUUUAUGGACCGUGUAGGACAUUCUUGGGAAUUGCCUGUGUUUGCUGAUCUGUCUGCUUCUAAAGUUUUGUCAGUUCAGUUUAAACACUUGCGUUAUACCUUAAAGGCCAGGAGCAAAAACUUGUCUCAUAUUAAGCUGCUCACAAUGGACUGUUGCUAGGUCAUUCUAUUCUUCUAUAACUUGGAAGAGCUGCGACCACUUACCACACCAGAACUUAAUUUCAGGAAAAUUGUCCAGUUGCACCAUGAAGAUCUGCUGAGCAUACAUUAUAUCUAUUGGAAGCAGAGGUGUACUAUUCAUUAUAUUAAGGUGGGUGAGGAGAAUUCCAAGUUUUUCCAUGCAAUGGCCUCUGAACGUUUGCGCAGGAAUACUAUUGCCAGUCGCUCAGUUGCAGGAAGUGAUCCAGUUUCUGACCAUUCUCAAAUGGUGAGAAUUCUUUGGGCAUCUUUUAAAAAUAGAAUGGGCCAGGACCAAGGGAUAAAUAUGGGCUUUGAUCUGCAGAACCUCAUACAACCAGUACCUGGCCUAUAGAGUUUGUCUGAACCUUUCUCUGCUGAGGAAAUUAGCACUGUUCUGAAGGAACUGCCGACUAAUAGAGCUCCUGGAACUGAUGGAUUUAAUGGGCUCUUUGUCAAGAAAGUGCUGGCCUGUCAUUGAGAAGGAUUUCUUGAAGCUAAUCCAGGAAUUUUAUGAUGGCAAGUUAUCUCUGGAGAAUAUCAAUGGCUCCCUGAUAACCUUGAUUCCAAAGAUGUUGUCUCCUGAAGGACCUGAGGAUUUUAGGCCCAUUUCUCUGACUAAUACAUGCUUAAAAUUCCUUACAAAGCUCUUGGCAAAUAGGCUGCAAAAGGUCAUUCUUCAGCGCAUUCACAAGAACCAGUAUGGGUUUUUGAAGAAUAGAGCCAUCCAAGACUGUCUGGCUUGGGCUUUUGAGUAUAUACAUCAAUGUAAGUAGUCAAAGAAGCCCAUCAUCAUUUUGAAGCUUGAUUUUGCCAAAGCUUUUGACACUGUGGAGCAUGAGCUUAUUCUGUAAAUCGUCCAGCACAAAGGCUUUGAUGCAAAAUGGAUUGCUUGGAUUAAAGAGAUCCUCUCCUCUGGAUCAUCUUCUAUUCUUCUCAAUGGUGUGCCUGGUAAACAGCUCAAAUGCAAACAUGGGGUUAGACAGGGGGACCCUUUGUCCCCACUCUUGUUUGUCAUAGUUGCUGAUCUCCUUCAAUCAGUAGUUCAUGAUAUGUUGGCUAGGGGAGUUUUAACUCUUCCAAUCCUAUCCCAUGACACUAAUUUUCCUAUUAUUCAGUAUGUAGAUGAUACAAUAAUAAUCCUCUCUGUAGUGGAAGAUCAGUUAGUUGCUCUUAAGAACAUGCUAAUAUUGAGCAAGCUGAAGCACAGAGGCUAUCAAAUAUAUUUUUCCCGCAAAAGCAAAGGCUAUCAAACAUUUCGGGAUGUAAGUUGGAGCAGUUGCCUUUCACUUAUGUGGGUCUGCUUCUUGAAACUACAAGACCUAAAAUAAGUGACUUGAUGCCUUUGGUGGACAACAUUGAAAGAAGAUUGGUCGUCAGUUCUGCCAUGCUUAAUCAAGUUUCCAGAUUGCAACUGCUCACAUCAGUGCUCACUUCAAUGCAUAUAUAUUUCCUCUGUAGUCCGCAUAUUCCUCCUGGUAUUAUCAAACAUCUAGAUGGAAUUUUCAGGCAAUGUCUCUGGAGGGGAAAUUCUGAUGUACCUAAGCAGUCCUUAGCUGCCUGGGACCUAGUUUGCAGACCUAAAGAUAAAGGAGGUUUAGGCAUUCUUAAUUUGAAUAUUCAGAACCAAGGGCUUCUUCUCAAGCAUCUGCACAAAUUUUAUAAUAAAAUGACUAUCCCAUUGGUUCAGUUGAUCUGGGAUAGUUAUUAUGAUGGAGUUGUCCCUCAUGCCAUAGUGCUCACUGGCUCCUUUUGGUGGAAUUGGGAUGUCCUCAAGCUUGCUGACCAUUAGAGGUCAAUUGCCUCAGUGCAUAUCAAUAUGGGGGAUUCUGCUCUUUUUUGGCUUGAUGCUUGGCAUGUGGGUGGCUCUUCUCGGCCUUUGUAUCUCAGAUUACCAAGCCUCUACUCUUUUGUUUUGGAUGACAAGGUUUUUGUCAGGGAUUUCAUACAAACCAAGAUCUAUUCUCCAUGUUCCAUUUGCCGAUAUCACAGGAGGCAGCAUCUGAAUUGCACAUCUUGGAAGGAUGGUUGCCUCAUCUACAGAGAGAUCCUUCUCUGCCUGAUGUUUGGAUAUGGCCUGGAAAAUCUGGACAAUACUCAGCAAAAAGCUUUUAUGACAUCGCGCAUACACACCUUCAAGUCGUCCAACCUUGUAAGUGGUUAUGGCAGAGCAGAUGCAUUAUGAAAAUCAAAGUCUUUGGCUGCCUUCUUUUCUUUGAUAGGCUUAACAUGAAGGACAUGUUGGUCAGACGACACUGUAGGUCCCCCUUGGAUGAUAACUUAUGUGUCAUCUGCAAUGCUUAUGUCUAUGAAGAUAGAGCCCGUCUCUUCUUCCAAUGUAACUUCAGUUGCAGGGUUUGGAACUACUUACAAAUUGAUUGGGGCCAUGCCUCUAAUAUUCAGUAAUGUAUUUCCCAAGCAAGACAGAGAUUCGGCCAACCUUUCUUCUUUGAGGUUAUGCUCACAGAUGCCUGGACUAUAUGGAUCUUGAGGAAUGGGAGAACUUUCAGAGGGGCAAGGGCUACUUUUGCUUCAUGGAGAUGUAAUUUUGUACAUGAUAUUCUUUUACUUUCUCAUAGACUCAAAGAUAGCACUAAGCAUAGGCUUGUAGAUUGGGUUAAUGCCCGCAUGUAAAUGUAAGUCCUCUCUAACCUAGUUUAGGCCUGUAACUUUUGAGACUUCCUUUUGUAUAGUUCUCUUAGUUUUUAUGCUUUAAUAAAGGACUGUGGGGUUUCUACCCUAUAGUAAAUAUUCUAAAAAACACCUUUGGAGAUACUUGUGGAGCAUCUUUAUGAUCACCCAGAUACAUUGUGACGUUUGAUAGCACAUAAGGUAUUCCUCCGGUAUCGGGAGUUGCAUAAUCUCAUAGUCGAAGGAAUAUGUAUUUGACAUCAAGAAAGCAAUAUCAAUAAACUGAACGACCAAUAUUCUAAGCUAACAUAUGGGUCUUGUCCAUCACAUCAUUCUCCUAAUGAUGUGACCCCGUUAUCACAUGACAACACAUGUCUAGGGUUAGGAAAUCUUACCCAUCUUUGAUCAAUGAGCUGGUCUAGUAGAGGCUUACUAGGGAUAUGGGUAUUUGUUUAUUUAUUCACACAUGUAUUUAAGUUUCCGACCAAUACAAUUCUAGCAUCAAUAAUAAACCUUUAUCAUGAAUAAGGAAAUAUAAAAUAACAACUUUAUUAUUGCCACUAGGGCAUAUUUCCUUCAAAUUUGAGCACAGUAAAUUCAUUGGAACAAAAAUCUAUAUAUAUGGCGAGCGCUAUUCUCUGCCCGCAACAACUACAUUAUGCUGCAGUGCCGGCCAGCGGGGAGUGCCCGCCACUGCAGAGAUUCUAACAGUGGCGGGUGAUAACCCACAACUAUAUGGGGUCGCAACAGUUUUCGAGGCUGGACUAUUCAACCCAAAUUUAUUGAUUCGACACAUGGGGAGCCAAAGAAUAUUCACGAGUAUUAGUAGUUGAGUUGUCAAUUCAACCACACCUGUAAGACUUAAUAUAUCCGGCAAAGUAUCUAGUAGCAAAGUAGUAUGGAAGUAACAGUAACACUAGGCAAAGUAACAGUAGCUGUUUUGUAGUGAUUGUAACAACAGUAGUAAAUGAAAGUAACUUAGCAAAGAUCAAUAUGUGAAAAGCGCAUAGGCAUUGGACCGGCAAUGAUAAUUGUGUUCGAUAAUAUUCAUCAUGUAGCAGUUAUAACCUAGGAUGACACAGAACUAGCUCCAAUUCAUCAAUAUAAUGUAGGCAUGUAUUCCAUAUAUAGUCAUACGUGCUUAUGGAAAACCAACUUCCAUGAAAUCUUUUGUCCUACCCUCCCGUGGCAGCGGGGUCCUAAUGGAAACUAAGGGAUAGUAAGGCCUCCUUUUAAUAGAGAACCAGACCAAAGUAUUAGCAAUUAGUGAAUACAUGAACUCCUCAAACUAUGGUAAUCACCAGAAAGAAUCCCAAUGAUUGUCACCUUGGGGUAUGCGGAUCAUAACUCGUAAUAGGUGCCUACGACUUUUAAGAUAGGAUCAAGAACACAAAUAUAUUCAUGAAAACAUAAUAGGUUCAUAUCUGAAAUCAUGCCACUCGGGCCCUAGUGACAAGCAUUAAGCAUAGCAAACUCAUAGCAACAUGAAUCUCAGAACAUACUGGAUACUAUGGAUCAAACCCAAACAAAACUAACUUGAUUACAUGAUAAAUCUCAUCCAACCCAUCACCAUCCAGCAAGCCUACGAUGGAAUUACUCACGCAUGGCAGUGAGCAUCAUGAAAUUGGUGAUGGAGGAAGGUUGGUGAUGAUGACGGCGACGAAUCCCCCUCUCUGGAGCCCCGUACGGACUCCAUAUCAGCCAUCCCGAUGAAAAACAGGAGGCGGCAGCGGCUCUGUAUUGUAAAACACGAUGAAUCGUUCUCUCUGAUUUUUUCUCCCUGAAUGGGUACUUAUGGAGUUGGAGUUAGGGUCGGAGGAGGUCCAGUGUUCCCACAAGCCUGUAGGGAACGUCGCCAGGGCUUGUGGCCUCUGGGUGGCCCCCUCUGGUAACUUCUUGCGCCAGUAUUUUUUAUAUAUUACAUAAAAAUUCUCCGUAAAUUUUUAGGUAAAUCCAAGAACUUUGAUUUCCGCACAAAAAUAACACGAUGGCAAUUCUGCUGAAAACAGUGUCAGUCCGGAUUAGUUCCAUUCAAAUCAUGCAAAUUAGAGUAAAAAACAAGGGCAAAAUAGUUUGGAAAAGUAGAUACAAUGGAGACGUCUCAACUCCACUAAGCUUAACCCAUUGCUUGUGCUCAAGCAAUUUAGUUAACAAACUGAAAGUGACAAAGAAAAACUUUUAAAAACUCUGUUUGAUCUUGUUGUUGCAAAUAUGUCUAGCCAAUAUUUAGGUUUUCAGCAAAGAUUAUGAAUAACCAUAUUCACAAGAACAUUUACGUCUCACAUUUACUCAUAACAAUGGCAUAAUCAACUAGCGAGCGAUAAUAAUGCAGAGCACCCCUAAAGAUAAAGGACUGACUCGACAUUAUAAUUCAUGGCAAAAGAUGACAACACUUUUUCAAAACUAUCAUGAUAUGACAAAAUGGUAUCUCGCUAGCCCUUUCUGAGACCGCAAAAGAUAAAUGCAGAGCACCCCUAAAGAUAAAGGACUGACUAGACAUUAUAAUUCAUGGCAAAAGGGAUCCAGUCACACUCAUACUCAACAUCAAUUAAAAACAAAGCCUAUAAAUGACAGUGGUGCUCUCCAGCUCGUGUUUUUUAUGAGAGGAUGAUGACUCAACAAUAAAAGUAAAUAGAUAGGCCCAACGCAGAGGGAAGUACGGAUUUGCAGAGGUGCUAGAGCAAGAAGCUUUUAAAACAUAGAUGAAUAUAAUUUUGAGCGGUAUGCUUUCAUUGUCGACAUAACAACCAAGAGAUCUCACAAUCUUUCAUGCUAGAUACAUUAUAGUCUGUUCCCAAACAAAAUGGUAAAGUUUUUACUCCCCCCCCAACAAUCACACUCGAGUGCUAGCCGAAUCCACGGGUACCAUCCAUACCAACAACAGUCCUAGGGUAGUUUUGUUUUACGAUUAUAUUUUGAUUUCAUUUUGAGCAUGGAACUGGGCAUCCUGAAUACCAGCCACUUUAUCUAGAAUGACAAGUGAAUAAACACUCAUCGUGAGAAUAACCCACCUAGCAUGGAAGAUACUGACAGCCCCCAGUCGCUAGAUCAGCGAUUUGGGCAUACAAAACAUAUCAUUAUUUGAAGAUUUAGAGUUUGGCACGUGCAAAUUUACAUUGAAACGGCAGGUAAAUACUGUAUAUAGGUAGGUAUGGUGGACUCAUAUGGAACAACUUUGGGUUUAAGGAAGCGGAUGCACAAGCAGUAUUCCCGCUUAGUACGAGUGAAGGUUAGCAAAAGAUUGAGAGCAACAACGGUCAUAAACAAGCAUUGAGGUUAAGCAACAUUGAGUGAAAGCACGAGUAGGAUAUAAAUCACCAUGAACAUAAAUAUCGUGGAGAGCAACAACGGUCAUAAACAUGCAUUUUGAUUCAACUACAUGCGUGAACAUGUGCCAAGUCAAGCCACUUGAAUCGUUCAGAAGAGGAUACCAUCCUAUCAUACUACAUCAUAACCAUUUUAAAUGCAUGUUGAAACGCAAGAUAAACGGUUAUCCACUCCUAGCUAAUUAAGAAUGGCAUGAGUAACAAUAAUCUCUAAUUGUCAUUGCAAAAAUGUUUCAUUCAUAGUGGGCUGAAUCAACAACGACGAGCUAAUCAUAUUUACAAAAACAAAAUAGGUCGAGUCCGUACCAGCUUCUUUCCAUCUCAAUCAUUUCGUCAUAUAUAAUCAUUAUUGCCUUUGACUUGCAUGAUAGAACGGUGUGGAUAAUAAUAAGAGUGCACGUGCAUUGGACUAGGCUGGAAUCUGCAAACAUUUACUCAAAGGAGAAGACAAGGUAAUAUGCGCUCUUUCUUAGAUCAACAAUAAUGCAUAUGAGAGCGACUCAACAUUUUCAUUGUGGUCUUCUCCCUACGAUCCAAAGAAAAAGAAAACAAUUUCAAAGAAACACAAUGAAAUAUUUUUGAAUUUUUUUUCUGAAGCAAGCAAAAAUGAAAAUGAGAAAAACUAUUUACACGGGAAAGCUCCCAACAAGCAAAAGAAGAACAGGAAAUCUUUUUGUGUUUUAUUUUAAUUCUACAACUAAUUAAAGUAGAAAGAAAACUAAAAAGAUGCGAGAAAUAUUUUUGGAUUUUAUCAAAGGUUUUCAAACACACAAGAAGAAAGCAAGAAAAAUAAACUAACAUGGAUAAUACAAUGAAAAAGUAUGAACACCGACAACUGGAAUGAGUGUGUGAACAUGAAUGUAAUGUCGGUGAGAAAUACGUACUCCCCCAAGCUCUGGCUUUAGGCCUAAGUUCGUCUAGGGCCACAGCUAGAAAUAACUCUCUCCUCGAUACGGUGGAGGGUCCUGAGUGUUCCACUGGUUGGCGAGCUCCUGUGGCUCCCACUGAUAAACAGGCUCCUGAUACGGAUCAGGAACUGGUACUGGCUCAGGUGCUGGAGGUUGUGUCAGCCUCCAGUAAGUGUAAAUGUACUCGGGCAUAAUGGUGUACCUUCCUGAACGAAUAUCGAACAAAGAAGGUGCAGGCAAGACAAUAAUCUCACAAGUGCCCUAACUAAAUACUAGGUUGUAGAGGAGUCUAUUAUCAUCGUCCUUUUUAAUAAAAUCGUGUGCUACCAUACUAGCAUAAUUAAAAUAUUUAGUUGGUAACAACAUAUCCUCCUCCUCAUCAUGCCUAAUGGGUAUAUCAAAAUGUUUAGAAAGACGGGAGGCAUAGAUACCUCCAAAGAAAGUACCCUUCGAGCGGUUUGUGUUUAACCGUCUGUCGGUGUACAAAAGUAGGGGCUCUCCUUUUGACCCCUUUACUUGUGUACGGGCAGUCAAAGCCGCGCUCCGCGGCCACACAUAGCAGGGCAGCGGAGGGAAGCCGGAGGCAAACCGAAGCACAAGGAAAACAAGGCGACGCCAAGACCAGAAGCAUAAAAGAGCAAAGGGGCGAGGUGGACUCCCCCGGCAGGACCCUUGCCGGGGCGGCCUCCGCGGCCCCGUCAAGAGCCUUGUCGGGGCAACUUGCCCAACGCCAGCGGAGCGAUCCACCCUUGAGCCCAAGGGUUCCAAAUGCCGCCAACAACUACAUUGAACCCAGGGCUCGGGAGGCACCUCUGUGGUGGCAUGCAGAUCUUUGUCAAGAUCAUAAAUACAUGAGGUCAGAUGAUAACCAGAAGACGACGACCCUCGGCGGGAUUCUAGCCGAGGAAAUCCACAAGACCCUCGGCAAGCGCCUUGCCGGGAACGACUGCAGCGCCACGGCAAGACCCUUGCCGGGCCCCCCGGCAAGCCCCUUGCCGAGGGCAUCAGCAGGGCCACAGCCAGACCCGCACCAGCCAAGACUCCACCACCGUCCCCAAGCAGCUGCUAGCUCAACCAGCUGGGCAGGCACCUGCGUGGUGACGGGCGGCCUCUACACCGACCCAGCAAGCACCUGCGUGGUGGCAUGCAGAUCUUCGUGAAGGCUCCACCACCGCGCCACCUCAGCAGCCUGCCUGCCCACAUGGCGCUGCAUGCAUCACUGGCUUGGGCGCGUGUCGAAGCAAGGCAGAGCGGCGACGGACGGGUCGGGCCUCGUUCCCGUCCCCGAUAAAACUAAUGGACACCUAAGUAGCGCAUUUAAUGCGCUUUGUUCUCGUUCCCGUGCGAUAAGCUCGCGCACUGUACACCUUUCCACCUCCUGUGUGCCACUGUGGCGACCCCUUUUGCCUAUAAAAGGAGGCCCGAGGCGACCAGGAGAAGGAUUCGGCUCUUUGGAACUACGCAGCCACCAUAGCUAGUUGGAGAGCUCAGGAACACUUUGAAAUACACACCAAAGCAGGACUAGGGUAUUACCCAUCCUCGCGGCCCGAACCUGGGUAAACAAUCUUUGUGCGAGCUCCUAAACCUGCUCUUCUCACAACCCCGCGCCCGCCAACCGUAGAAGGGAUCCCAGUGCUCCCAUAGGUGUCGUUUCCCCGACAUCUUUGGCGCGCCCGGUAGGUGUGACGCGGUUGUGAGAAUAUGGUCUAGCAGUUAGCCUAGCAGUUCUUCAUCGCCAUGGCUCCAAGAAAAGUACGAUCACGGCGAUCGUCUCGACGGGAGCCGAACGACCCGUGCCAGUGCGGGCGAGCAGCGCGCCGGUCGCGGACAAAACCCGAGCCGCGGCCCGCGAGCACCAGCAUUGCUCUGGCAGUCAGAGCCUGGCGAGCGGCGUCGUUCAUGUGCCAGACGAUGGGCCGCACACCGCCAAAUCCAAAGACGGGGCUGGGCCCCCCGCAGGCGGCACGGGGCCCUCCAGGGGUGUCGCUGUGCCACCUACGGGUGGCGCAGCAACCUCCAAGACGCCUACACCGGCGACCACGAUGCGCUCUUCCCAGGGUGUGCGCGACGAGCAGCGCCACCAUGCUAGGGACCCCGGACGCCGCAGUGGGAAGAGUCAUGUGCCUCAUUCGUGGGACGAAGGAGGCCAGCAUGCCCGUCGAAGUGCUGGCGAAAAUGGCACGCAGCCGUUGGGCCGUGAUAGAGAUCCUUCUAACGUGGUUAGAAUUCGAAGCGCGCCACAGGCCACGCAGCUCUCGCCCCCACCCACGCCAACAAAAGCUUUGGCGCGCGCGCAGCUACUCCUCGACUUCCCUCCCACUACGGAAAAGCUCGAUGAGUGAAGGGCCACCAUCCGGAGCCUUGUCGGCGUCGCCAACCAAGACGAGCCACGACCAGCGGGGCCCUUAGGCCGUCGCUCCGUCGAACCACCGCAUGCCAGCGGUGGAGGGGCCGGAGGUGUUGCGGCCACGGUGCACUCUCCUCCUCCACGGCAGCCGCCGCGGGUGUCGAUCCGUCGUGAUGACGCUAGUGAUAACAUUUCCAUAGCAUCGUCCGACCCACGGACCCACCGCGACCAGUGCCAAGUUCUUCGAGAACGAGCCCAUGAAGACGCUCAAACCACCAUCGAGCGCUGGCGCGAUACACGCCACCAUUCAGAUAGGCCGGCGGGGCUCGCUAUGGACCACCCAGCACCGGGAGGCUCCGGCGGCCUACCUUACGAGGUGGGUUGCCCAGCCUUUACCCGUGAGCUACGGUAGGUCCACUGGCCGUCCCACCGCACGUUCAAGCCCGACGUCGGCGAGAAGUACAAUGGCAAGACCCAUCCAUUAGAGUUCCUCAGCAUCUACACCAUCGCGAUGCAGGCCGCUGGAGCUCGUGACGACAAGGUGCUUGCCAAUUACUUCCCGUUGGCCCUGAAGCCCAAUGUCAUGUCUUGGUUGAUGCACUUGCUGGCGGAUUCCAUUUCUUCUUGGUCGUAUCUGUGUCAUGAAUUCGUUGGUGCCUUAACUGGAGGCCACCAAGCUCAUGGCCAGGCGAGUGAUUUGCAUAUCAUUCCCCAGAAGGAAGGUGAAAACCUGCGGAAGUACAUACAGAGGUUUAGCCGAGUGCAAUACAACAUCACAGAUGUUCAUCCCGCCGCCAUGAUCAGCGCAUUCCAUCAGAAUGUGCAUAACUGCAAGAUGCGCGAAGAGCUGGCGAUGAACAAGGUCAAGGAUGUGGCCGAACUUUGUGUUCUGGCUGAUAGAUGCGCUCGGGCUGAAGAGGGAAGGAAGUACCCCGGCUAGGACGCUGGCACGGAAACCAACUCUACAUACGAAGACACCGCCGCCCCGACAAAGAAGGGUCGGCGCCGCAACAGGAAACGCAAGGUUAAGACCGUGCUUGUCGUCGAGGGAUCCGAGGACACCGGCGCUGCCAAGAAGGCCAAGGCAGACGACCCCGACAAGGAAAUAGCCGGGUGCACCGCUUGCCGGGCCUUGGCAGCUGCCGACAAGCCAGGAGGCUCCGGCAAGCAAUACUGCAAGAUCCACCGCACCAAGGGCCACGACCUCCAGAACUACCGGCAAGUUGAGCUGCUUGCUGAGAAGCAAAAAGCUGAGUAUGAGACGCGGGACAAGGAGAAGGGCCAGGAUGGUGCCGAGGGAUCCGACAAGAAGCGUGGCGGCCAAGGAGGUCGCCACGGCAAGGAUAACCAACAAGAGAGGCCCGCUCGGGGCCGCGACAAGAAGCAGGAAGACGAUGAUCAUGACGAGGACGGCGAGUCCGGCUAGCAUGAGUUCCAGAAGGCUACGGAGGCCAUGUGCGUCGAUGGUGGCGCCUCGCUGCAUACUUCUCACCGCCGUCUCAAGCAGUGGGCGCGUGAGAUCACAGCAGCGGAGCCGACGUUCGACGCUCAGAAGCCGCUAAAGUGGUCCAGCAUGCCUAUCAUCUUUGACGCCGAGGACCACCCUGAUCGCACAACUGCGGUCGGAUGUUUUCCAUUGUUGGUCUCACCAAUGAUACGCAACCUCAAGGUGAAGAAGAUGCUGGUUGACAGCGGAGCCGGUCUGAACUUGAUCUCACCCGUUUUGAUCAAAUGGCUGCAAAUUCCUGAUAGAGACCUCAAAGAGACGGGCACGUUUCAAGGGGUCAACCCGGGCAGGAGUCAGCCGAAGGGCAAGGUCACGCUGCCUGUGACGUUUGGAGGCAGGCUGAACUACAGGACGGAGAGGAUUGUCUUCGAUGUAGCCGAGAUCCCCUUGCCCUACAACGGGAUGCUCGGCCGCCUGGCACUACCCAAGUUCAUGGCGGCAUCACAUUAUGCCUACAACACGCUGAAGAUGCCUGGGCCGAUGACCAUCAUCACCGUUCCCUGCGACAAGAAGGAUGCGUUGAUCUGCGCCGACCUACUCUACCGGGAAGCAGUUGCAGCAGCUGCCGCCAAGGCACUUGCUCCUGCCGCUGAAGCCCUCUCGCACCCACUCCGGCAAGCGCACUUCUUCAGACUGUUGUGCUACCAUCGAGGACGUGCCAGAGAGCUCCACUGGCAAGAGCAAGAAAUCCAGAGCUGUGCCACUAGAGACCAAGAAGGUGUCCGUCAAAGAGGAUGGCACGGGAGGGGCUUUCACCAUAAGCUCCACCCUCGACAGCAAAUAGGAAAGCGUGCUCGUCACUUUCCUGUGGGCGAAUGUCGAUGUGUUUGCAGGGCAAGCAUCUGACAUCCCCGGUGUUCCAAGGGAAGUGAUUGAGCACCAUCUUGCCAUUUGCCCCCAUGCGCGACCCGUCAAGCAGAAGGUCAGGAAGCAAGCUUUGGAACGGCAGGAGUUCAUUACAGAGGAUAUCAGGAAGUUGGAAGCAGCAGGCUUGGUGAGGGGAGUGCUCCAACCAACGUGGUUGGCCAAUCUGGUGGUGGUGCGCAAGGCAAAUGGGUAGUGGAGGCUGUGUAUUGACUACAUAUAUAUCAAUAAGGCUUGUCCUAAGGACCCCUUCCCGUUGCCGCGCAUCGACCGGAUUGUUGACUCCAUGGCCGGGUGUGAUCUGUUGUCAUUCCUCGACGCCUACUCGGGUUACCACCAGAUCUUCAUGACAAGAGAAGACAAAGAGAGGACAACAUUCAUCACCCCAUGUGGUACGUAUUGCUUUUUACGGAUGCCUUUCGGGUUGAAGAGUGCUGGCUCAACGUUUGCAAGGGAAGUCCAAAUUAGUUUUGAGCCCCAGCUACAUAGAAAUAUGGAAACUUAUAUGGAUGACGUAGUGGUCAAAACCAAGGACAAGGCAACUCUUGUACAUGACUUAGAAGAGACUUUAGUCAACCAGCGCAGGAUCAGCCUCAAGCUGAACCCUGAGAAGUGUGUCUUCGGCGUUCCGUCCGGCAAACUUCUCGGGUUCUUUGUGUCGCAGCGUGGGAUUGAGGCAAACCCAGACAAGAUCAAGGCUAUCGAGCAGAUUGAGGCACCCAAGCGGAUCAAGGAUGUGCGUCGGCUCACUGGCUGCGUUGCUGCCAUGAGCCAAUUCAUCUCCAAGUCUGCCGAGCGCGCCCUUCACUCUUUCAAGAUUUUGAAAAAGGCGGGCCCAAUGGAGAGGACCCCGGAGGCCGAAGCAGCACUGCAGGAUCUGAAGAAAUACCUCUCUUCUACACCGGUACUGGUGGCGCCUGAUACGUCUCCAACGUAUCUAUAAUUGAUGAAGUAUUCAUGCUAUUAUAUUGUCUGUUUUGGAUGUUUAUGGGCUUUAUUAAAUACUUUUAUAUUAUUUUUGGGACUAACCUAUUAACCUAGAGCCCAGUGCCAGUUCCUGUUUUUUCCCUUGUUUCAGUGUUUCGAAGAAAAGGAAUAUCAAACGGAGUCGAAACGGAAUGAAACCUUCUGGAGAAGUUAUUUUUAGAAAGAAAGCAACCCGGGAGACUUGGAGUCCAUGUCAAGAAAGCAACGAGGAAGGCAUGAGGCAGGGGGGGUGGGCGCUCCCUCCACCCUCGUGGGCCCCUCGUGGCUCCUCUCACGUAUUUCUUCCGCCUAUAUAUAUAUCCAUAUACCCUAAAACGAUCGGGUAACAUAAUAGAUCGAGAGUUCCGCCGUCGCAAGCCUCUGUAGCCACCAAAAACCAAUCGGGACCCUGUUCCGGCACCCCGCCGGAGGGGGGAGCCAUCAACGGUGGCCAUCUUCAUCAUUCCGGCGCUCUCCAUGACGAGGAGGGAGUAGUUCACCCUCGGUGCUGAGGGUAUGUACCAGUAGCUAUGUGUUUGAUCUCUCUAUCUCUCUCGUGUUCUUGAUUUGGCACGAUCUUGAUGUAUCGCGAGCUUUGCUAUUAUAGUUGGAUCUUAUGUUGCUUCUCCCCCUCUACUCUCUUGUAAUGGAUUGAGUUUUCCCUUUGAAGUUAUCUUAUCGGAUUGAGUCUUUAAUGAUUUGGGAACACUUGAUGUAUGUCUUGCGUGGGAUAACCGUGGUGACAAUGGGUUAUUCUAUUGAUUCACUUGAUGUAUGUUUUGGUGAUCAACUUUCGGGUUCCGCCCAUUAACCUAUGCAUAGGGGUUGGCACACGUUUUCGUCUUGACUCUCCGGUAGAAACUUUGGGGCACUCUUUGAGGUUCUAUGUGUUGGUUGAACAGAUGAAUCUGAGAUUGUGUGAUGCAUAUCGUAUAAUCAUACCCACGGAUACUUGAGGUGACAUUGGAGUAUCUAGGUGACAUUAGGGUUUUGGUUGAUGUGUGUCUUAAGGUGUUAUUUUACUAUGAACUCUAGGGCUGUUUGUGACACUUAUAGGAAUAGCCCAAUGGAUUGAUCGGAAAGAAGAACUUUGAGGUGGUUUCGUACCCUACCAUAAUCUCUUCGUUUGUUCUCCACUAUUAGUGACUUUGGAGUGACUCUUUGUUGCCUGUUGAGGGAUAGUUAUAUGAGCCAAUUAUGUUAUUAUUGUUGAGAGAACUUACACUAGUGAAAGUAUGAACCCUAGGCCUUGUUUCCUAGCAUUGCAAUACCGUUUGUGCUCACUUUUAUCAUUAGUUACCUUGCUGUUUUUAUAUUUUCAGAUUACAAAAACCUAUAUCUACCAUCCAUAUUGAACUUGUAUCACCAUCUCUUCGCUGAACUAGUGCACCUAUACAAUUUACCAUUGUAUUGGGUGUGUUGGGGACACAAGAGACUCUUUGUUAUUUGGUUGCAGGGUUGCUCGAGAGAGACCAUCUUCAUCCUACGCCUCCCAUGGAUUGAUAAACCUUAGGUCCUCCACUUGAGGGAAAUUUGCUAUUGUCCUACAAACGUCUGCGCUUGGAGGCCCAACAACGUCUACAAGAAGAAGGUUGCGUAGUAGACAUCAAGCUCUUUUCUGGCGCCGUUGCCGGGGAGGUGAGUGCUUGAAGGUAUAUCUUGAGAUCUUGCAAUAGAAUCUUUAUGUUUCUUGUUUUAGCACUAGUUUAGUUUAUAAAAGAAAACUACAAAAAAAUGGAAUUGAGUUUGCCUCAUACGCUUCACCUUUUUAAUAUCAUUCGUGAGUAUGAUGGAAAGGAAAAUUGUGCCAAAGUGUUAGAAGAAGAAUGCAUUAAAAUGUUUGGCACUAAAUUUUUGAAUGAUGAGCAUGAUUGCAAUGUUGUUAGUAUGAACUCCUUGAAUAUCCUGGGUACUAACGAUGAUUGCACUAGUCAUGAUGAAAAUGUCUCCUAUAAACAUGCCAAUUUUUGUGGAGGGCAUUGGGUUUGCAAAUACACACCGAAUAGGGAAGAUAGAUAUUGCAAGAGGCAUAAGCAUUUAGAAACUAAAUUGUGGCAAGAAAGGCUAGAUGUUUGCGCUGAAAAUUUAAUUUUUCUUGGCCAUACUUGUGAACUUUGCAAUGAACGAGGUCAUUUAACUAUCCGAUGCAAAUUGUUUCACGAUCUAAUCGUGCCCAAAAAUUGGGAUGACUUGAUUUCCCUUGCACAUUAUAAUGAACUUCGUUUGCUUAUGGGUUAUGAAGAAAUGAAACGUAUAACUAACUAUCUUCCAGUAUUUGCCCGUGACAAACUUGUUGGUUUUGAUCUAGAGGAAAUUUAUAUGUAUUGUGCGGUGAAUUGCAUUGAAAAUCCUUAUAUUUCCAAUUACAUCAAGAAAAGAAAACAAAUAGAAGAUGAAGAGAAUGCUAACGAAAGGGAAGAGACUUCCCGAUAUUCUCCUAUUAUUUCUUAUGAUGAAUCAGGUAACGAGGAGGAGCCUUCUAUUCAACCAAUCUCAUUAAUAAGGAACUCCAAAAAGAGGAUUGAAUCCACACAUGAUGUGGUGAAUAAGAAGAAAAGAAAAAGGAGGAGAGGUAAAAAGAUAUCUCUCCCAAAUAAUGUUGCUCCUAUUAUUGUUGUGCCUCAUGAAAAUGAAGAUGAUGCACUUGAUGAUGAUCUCAUUAUGCCUAUUGCUUGUUGUGAUUAUUAUGAUUGGGAAGAUAAUGAUACUUCUUAUGAUCUUGAAAAUCUUUUUGGCACUUGCUUGGAAUAUGAUAAUUGCUAUACUAUUGGCGUUAUCCAUACUAUUAAUGAUGAGAGUGAUUAUGCUUAUGAUAUAAAAAUGCCCAAGCUUGGGGAUGCUAUGUUUGAUGAUUAUGAUGUUCUUGAGAAUAUAUUUGCUGAAAUUAAUGUUUGUCCCAAGCUUGGGGAUGCUAUGUUUAAUGAAGAUGAUAUUUUUAGCCUCCCAAGUUUUGAUAUGCAAAGUUGUUAUGAUGAUAGCAUGCCUUCUACCUAUGAUGAUUAUAUUGAUGAAAGUGGGUUUGGAAGAGUGUCAACUUUAGGAAGUAAUGAUCCCACUAUUUUGGAGGAUGUUGAAUCUUAUAAUAUUUAUGGAAGUGCAUUUGGAGAGGUCAUGACUUUAUUUAGUGAUUUAUCCACUAUUUCGGAAGAGGUUUCAAUUGAUUAUGAUGAGAACAAAGUUGCUACUUAUGAUGAUUAUUGUGAUGAAACUUAUGCUAUAAAGAGUAGUGAUGAUUAUAUUUAUAAAACUUGUCAUGAUUAUGAGUACCCUUUCUCUGAACGUUACUCUUUUAAUGUGGAAACAAUUUAUAGUAUUCAAGUCUCUUAUGAUACUCCCACUAUUCCGAAUGAGAAGAAUUUUGCUUAUGUGGAGAGUAAUAAAAUUUCUAUGCUAGUAGAUCAUGAAAAGAAUGCUUUAGGUGAUGGUUAUAUUGUUGAAUUCAUUCAUGAUGCUACUGAAAUUAUUAUGAGGGAGGAAUAUAUGCUUGUAGGAAUUGCAAUAAUAUCAAGUUUCCUCUCUAUGUGCUUAAGGUUUUGAAGUUAUGCUUGUUUUGCCUUCCUAUGCAAGUUGAUUCUUGUUCCCAUAAGUUGUUUGCUCACAAAAUCCCUAUGCAUAGGAAGUGGGUUAGACUUAAAUGUGCUAGUCAUAUUCUUCCUGAUGCUCUCUUUAUGUUUCAAUUCUUAUCUUCUAUGUGAGCAUCAUUGAAAUCAUCAUGAAUAGCUAGGGGCGUUAAACGAUAGCGCUUGUUGGGAGGCAACCCAAUUUUAUUUUAGUUUCUUGCUUUUUGGUUCUGUUUAGGAAUAAAGAAUCCAUCUAGCUUCUGUUUAGAUGUGGUUUUGUGCUUUAAUUAGUGUUUGUGCCAAGUAGAACCUUUGGGAAGGCUUGGGUGAAGUCUUUAUGAUCAUGCUGUAAAAAAACAGAAACUUUAGCGCUCACGAGUUUAGCUAAAACUUUCUACUGGAAAGAGCUAUUUAUUUUAUUCUUUAUGCAGAUGAUUACUAGACGAAUGCCUCAGGUCCACCAAUUUAUUUUAGAAUUUUUGGAGUUCCAGAAGUUUACGUUUGAUACAUAUUAUUGCAGACUGUUCUGUUUUUGACAGCUUCUGUUUUUCGUGUGUUGUUUGCUUAUUUUGAUGAAUCUAUGGCUAGUAAAAUAGUUUAUAAACCAUAGAGAAGUUGGAAUACAGUAGAUUUAACACCAAUACAAAUAAAGAAUGAGUUCAUUACACUACCUUGAAGUGGUGUUUUGUUUUCUUUCGCUAACGGAGCUUACGAGUUUUCUGUUGAGUUUUGUGUUGUGAAGUUUUCAAGUUUUGGGUGAAGAUUCGAUGGCUAUGGAAUAAGGACAACCAAGAGCCUAAGCGUGGGGAUGCCCCGGAUGGCAUCCCCUAUUUCGUCUUCGUUCAUCGGUAACUUUACUUGGAGCUAUAUUUUUAUUCACGACAUGAUAUGUGUUUUGCUUGGAGCGUCAUUUUAUUUUCUUUAGCUUUGCUUGGUGUUUGAAUAAAAUACCAAGAUCUGAAUUUCUUAAAUGAGAGAAAGUCUUCACAUAGCUACAUAAUUAUUUAACUUCUCAUUGAUCUUCAGUUAUAUCUUUUUGCAGUAGUUUGUCAUUUACUCGUGUGCUUCACUUAUAUCCUAUGAGUAAAUGGUUGAAUGAUUUGAAUGUCAUAAAUCUGAAAUUAUAUAUGUUUCAUAUGCCUUUCCCACGGGGAGUAAUGCCUUCACAUAUAAGAAGUAGAGGUGGUAAAUUUAUUGAAGGUUAGCAAACAUUGUAUUGGUCACUUCAACAAUUCAUGAAAGAAUAUUGAAGGAAGAGAGAUUUCACAUAUAAAUAUACUAUCUUGGACAUCUUCUAUGAUUGUGAGCCCCAUUAAUUAUUUUCAUACCUGAGCAAAUUAGUUGAAGUUUGACAAGGAAGACGACAUAAUGAGUUAUGCUUGGGUGUAUUUGUAUAGAAGUUAUAUUGUUAUGGAUCCUCUAACAUGUGGUGCUUGCUAUUUAGAAUCCUUUGCUAGCCAAAAUACAUGUAGUAAGCCGGAAUACUGCUUCUGCAUCCAAAUUCCUCGAACCAAGUUUCUUCCAUGAGUGUCCACCAUAUCUACCUAUAUGUGGUAUUUACCUGCCGUUCCAAGUAAAUUUGCAUGUGCCAAACUCUAAACCGUCAAAUAAUAAUCUGUUUUGUAUGCCCGAAUCGCUCAUGUAGCGACUAGGGGUUAGCAGUAUCUUCCAUGCUAGGUGGGUUAUUCUCACGAUGAGUGGACUCCGCUCAUCAUUCACGAGAAAAAUGGCUGGUAACUGGGAUGCCCAGUCCAAUGAUCCAAAGAUCGAAAUCAAAUAAAAAAUAAUUUCAAACAAAACUCCCCAAGGAUUGAUGUUAGUUGGAGGCACCCGUUGUUUCGGGCAAGCCAUGGAUUGAUGAUUGUUGGUGGAGGGGGAGUAAAAUCUUUACCUUUCUGUUUGGGAACCGCCUAUAAUGUCUGUAGUAUGGAAGAUAUUGGGAACUCUUGGUUAUUCUAUUGACAAUGAAAGCAUACCUCUCAAAAUUAUUUUCAUCUCUGUUUUUGCUUCGAGCUCUAGAACCUGUGCAAAUCCCUGCUUCCCUCUGGGAAGGGCCUAUCUUUUACUUUUAUGCAAGAGUCAGUAGUAUUCCUUCUCAUUCCAACCUACUCUUUAGUUGUCAAGCAUCAUGUGAUGGAAAGAUCUAGGCAUCUAUGGCCAUUCAAAUAUAUUUGAGCAUGAAUUAUUAUUGUUGACAUUACCCCAGAGGUAAAAGGUUGGGAGACGAAACAUUAAGCCCCUAUCUUUCUCUGUGUUCGAUGAAUACUAUUUGUUCUAAAAAUAUGCUUUGAGUGGUAGCAAUCAUGGAAGACUAUAUGAUAGUUGAGUAUGUGGGAUUUGCUAAAUCAAAGCUCUGACAUAGACUCUUCGUGAAAAUAAGAUGAAUUGCAAUUGUUUGAUGACUGAGAACAUAGUUUGUUAGUUUUCAAGAAAGUUUAUGAUCUAUACUUUAACAUGUGAAUAGUUUUUUACUUGAAGAUGCAAAGUUUUAUGAUAUGAGCUACUGUUAUGACAUAUAAUGAUGUUAGAAAAGGUGAUUGAAAUUAUCAUUGAUCAAACUUAUGCACCUGCUAGCAUUCACACUUCAUAAAUUAUUUCUUUUAUCAUUUACCUACUCCAGGACGAGCAGGAAUUAAGCUUGGGGAUCCUGAUACGUCUCGAACGUAUCUAUAAUUUAUGAAGUAUUCCUGCUAUUAUAUUAUCUGUUUUGGAUGUUUAUGGGCUUCAUUAAACACUUCUAUAUUAUUUUUGGGACUAACCUAUUAUCCCAGAGCCUAGUGCCAGUUCCAGUUUUUUCCCUUGUUUCAGUGUUUCGAAGAAAAGGAAUAUCAAACGGAGUCGAAAAGGAAUGAAACCUUCUGGAGAAGUUAUUUUUAGAAAGAAAGCAACCUGGGAGACUUGGAGUCCACGUCAAGAAAGCAACGAGGAAGGCACGAGGCAGGGGGGCGCGCCCACCCCCCUGGGCAUGCCCUCCACCCUCGUGGGCCCCUCGUGGCUCCUCUGACGUAUUUCUUCCGCCUAUAUAUAUAUAUCCAUAUACACUAAAACGAUCGAGGAACAUAAUAGAUCGGGAGUUCCGCCGCCGCAAGCCUCUGUAGCCACCAAAAACCAAUCGGGACCCUGUUCCGGCACCCUGCCAAAGGGGGGAGUCCUCACCAGUGGCCAUCUUCAUCAUCCCGGCGCUCUCCAUGACGAGGAGGGAGUAGUUCACCCUCGGGGCUGACGGUAUGUACCAGUAGCUAUGUGUUUGAUCUCUCUCUCUCUCUCUCUCGUGUUCUCAAUUUGGCAUGAUCUUGAUGUAUCGCGAGCUUUGCUAUUAUAGUUGGAUCUUAUGUUGCUUCUCCCCAUCUACUCUCUUGUAAUGGAUUGAGUUUUCCUUUGCAGUUAUCUUAUCGGAUUGAGUCUUUAAUGAUUUGAGAACACUUGAUGUAUGUCUUGCGUGGGAUAACCAUGGUGACAAUGGGUUUUUCUAUUGAUUCACUUGAUGUAUGUUUUGGUGAUCAACUUUCGGGUUCCGCCCAUGAACCUAUGCAUAGGGGUUGGCACACAUUUUCGUCUUGACUCUCCGGUAGAAACUUUGGGGCACUCUUUGAGGUUCUAUGUGUUGGUUGAAUAGAUGAAUCUGAGAUUGUGUGAUGCAUAUCGUAUAAUCAUACCCACGGAUACUUGAGGUGACAUUGCAGUAUCUAGGUGACAUUAGGGUUUUGGUUGAUGUGUGUCUUAAGGUGUUAUUUUACUACGAACUCUAGGGCUGUUUGUGACACUUAUAGGAAUAGGCCAAUGGAUUGAUCGAAAAAAUAACUUUGAGGUGGUUUCGUACCCUACCGUAGUCUCUUCGUUUGUUCUCCACUAUUAGUGACUUUGGACUGACUCUUUGUUGCAUGUUGAGGGAUAGUUAUAUGAUCCAAUUAUGUUAUUAUUGUUGAGAGAACUUACACUAGCGAAAGUAUGAACCCUAGGCCUUGUUUCCUAGCAUUGCAAUACCGUUUGUGCUCACUUUUAUCAUUAGUUACCUUGCUAUUUUUAUAUUUUCAGAUUACAAAAACCUAUAUCUACCAUCCAUAUUGCACUUGUAUCACCAUCUCUUCGCCGAACUAGUGCACCUAUACAAUUUACCAUUGUAUUGGGUGUGUUGGGGACACAAGAGACUCUUUGUUAUUUGGGUGCAGGGUUGCCUGAGAGAGACCAUCUUCAUCCUACGCCUCCCACGGAUUGAUAAACCUUAGGUCAUCCACUUGAGGGAAAUUUGCUACUGUCCUACAAACCUCUGCACUUGGAGGCCCAACAACGUCUACAAGAAGAAGGUUGCGUAGUAGACAUCAGCGCCUAAACCACAAGAGCCGUUGCUGCUGUAUCUAGCAGUGACUAUUCAAGUGGUGAGUGCCGCACUAGUGGCGCAGAGGGAGGUCGACGAAGAGGUAGUGGCGACGGUGGGACUGGCGGAUGACAAGCCAAAGAUUCCCCCGGCAGGGCCCGAUGCCGACAAGGCAAGGCCCCCGGCAGAGUCUGACGCCAUCGGGACAGGGCCCAUGCAAUCAAAUGAAGUGGUGCAGAAGAAGAAGAUGAUGCAGCACCCGAUUUACUUUAUCAGCUCCCUACUGCAGGGGGCUAGGUCAAUGUACUCUGGUGUGCAGAAAUUACUCUUCGGCCUCCUUAUGGCCUCGAGGAAUCUGCGUCGCUACUUCCAAGCACACGAAAUCACCGUCGUCACCCGCCUCCUGUUGCAACGGAUACUGCACAACCCAGACCCGACCGGAAGGAUUGUGGAGUGGGCCUUGGAGAUAUCAAGCUUUGGUUUGAAGUUUGAAAGUACUUCGACAAUCCAGAGCAGAGUCUUGGCGGAGUUCAUUGCAGAAUGGACCUCAACGCCUGACGAGGAAAUCCAGGAGACCACUCUCCCCGGCAAGGAAGCAAGUCACAACUGGAUCAUGUACUUUGACGGGGCUUUCUCGCUUCAAGGCGCCGGAUCAGGUGUGCUGCUCGUCGCACCCACCGGAGAGCACCUCAAGUAUGUAAUCUAGAUGCACUUUCCCAGGGAGAUGUCCACCAACAACACUGCUGAGUAUGAGGGGUUGCUUGCCGGUCUCAGGAUCGCGGCAGACCUUGGGGUUAAGAAGCUCAUCGUCAGGGGUUAUUCGCAGCUUGUCGUCAGACAAGUCAACAAAGAUUAUCAGAGCCCGUUGAUGGAGGCCUACGUAGAUUAGGUGAGGAAGCUGGAGGAGCGCUUUGGUGGUAUACAAGCGGAGCACGUUCCCCGAGUGGAGAACGACAUCGCCGAUUACCUGUCAAAGCUCGCUGCAUUCAAGUUACCUAUGGGACCAGGUACUUUUUUGCUUCAGUUAACUCAACCAUCCGUCAAACCGUCAACGGAGCAGAACAAGAAGAGGAAAUCAGGCCCUAGCAAUUACUUUCCCGCCAAGCCCCCUGGGGCCGCUGGCAAGGAUGCUGCCGUGGGUACUGAUUCCGCCGAGGGGCAACUUUGCGGGUCGUCAAGCCCUGGCCGUAGAGACGGCCGCCCCCAUGGCAGAAGAAAUGCCUUUGGUCCUUGCCAUCGAGCCCUAGGCUCCGGCAUGGGCACAACAUACCGUCCGAUUCCUCCAAACAGGGGAGCUUCCUGAGGAGCAGGAAGAAGCGGAGAAAGUAGCCCGUCGGUCUGCUAUGUAUCAGUUCGUCGAUGAUGUGUAUAGGAAGAGACCGAACGGUGUGAAAUUGAAGUGCAUUCCUCGGGAGGAAGGACUGGUGCUGUUGGCAGAGAUACACAGAGGCAUAUGUGGCUCCCACAUAGGGUCGAGGGCUCUUGACGGCAAGGCGUUCCGGCAGGGUUUCUUCUGGCCCACUGCCCUCCAGGAUGCAAAGGCACUAGUAACCAAGUGUGACGCGUGUCAGUUCCAUUCGAGGAAGCUUCAUCAACUAGCUCAAGCCCUUCAAACAAUUCCUCUUUCCUGGCCAUUCUCGGUCUGGGGGCUCGACAUCAUGGGCCCUUUCCCCCGCGCUGCCGGGGGCUUUGAGUACUUUUACGUUGCGAUCGACAAGUUCACAAAGUUGCUGGAGGUGGAAGCAGUGAGGAAGGUGACAGCAAGGUCGGCCGUCAAGUUCUUCAAGGGCCUAGUGUGCCGUUUUGGUGUGCCAAAAAAAGUCAUCUCCGACAACGGCACGCAGUUCACAAGCCACACCUUCAUGCAAUACAUCCAAGACCUCGGCAGCAAGGUCUGUUUCACUUCUGUGGCACACCCAUGGAGCAACGGCGAGGCGGAUAGGGCAAAUGCUGAAGUGUUGCGAGGCCUGAGGACAAAGACUUUUGACAGACUGCACAAGAGCGGAAGGCGUUGGAUUUAUGAGUUGCCGGCGGUUCUUUGGUCGAUCAGGAUGACGCCAAAUCGAGCCACCAGCCAGACACCCUUUGCCCUGGUAUACGGGGCAGAAGCAGUUCUCCCCACGGAACUCAUAUACGGGUCACCUCGAGUGCUCGCUUACGACGAGCUUGAGCAAGAGCAAUUGCGGCAAGAUGACGCAACGCUCCUUGAGGAAGAUCGUCUUCGGGCGGCUGUGCGAGCAGCACGCUACCAGCAAGCCUUGCGCCGCUAUCAUAGCCGCAAGGUUCUUGCGCGAAGCUUUGAGGAAGGCCACCUUGUUCUUCGGCGCGUUCAGUCGGCCAAGAAUUCCAACAAGUUGACGCCGAAGUGGGAAGGCCCUUAUCGGGUAAUACGAGUCACGAUGCCUGGCACCGUCCGCCUGGGGACCGAAGAUGGUAUCCCAGUGACCAACUCCUGGAACAUUGAAAAUCUUCACAAGUUUUACCGAUAAGGCGCAGUUGUCGGGACUCCCGGCAAGGGACCCUUUUGUACAAGUCGUGCCGACAAGGCAUGUAACCCUCUGUACAAAGCCAGUCGCAAACCCUGAGAAUAAAUAAAUGAAGCACUGGCGCCCUAAGUUAUGGCAUGCAUGCUAGGUUAAGUCUCUCCCUCGGUUAGGGUUGGUAGUGCUUAGCGGCGACUAACCCCUAGCCUAGAGGUCGAGUGUGCAUCUUUCUGUCCUCUUUGGUUUGCAGGGCACGUGGACACUUCUGCCGUGCUCCCCUUUUCCUAUACCCAAGAGUUAUCCCCUGGGUCGGAACUUGGUCGUAGUCGCGAUGGCAAGAAGAUGAACGAGGGGCCUAACUCUAAUUCGCCCCUGCCUCUGCCAAGAGCGUGAGAAUGGUCCACUGAAGUGGGGGACGGCGAGGCCUGUUGCCGGGCGACAAUGUUUAUCUUAAAAAUAACAAGGAUGCGUUCCUUGGCAUGGGCCUCGCUCACGCACGAAGAACCCGGCAAACACCCUUUUUUCAUAAAAAACGUCCCAUACAGGUACAGUUCAUACGAGAUGAAAAACAUGAGCAAGGGGAUUACAAGUUUUAAAUCUAACAAGUGCCCGCAGGCUUACAAACUAAAAAAUAUAAGAUGCCCAUAAUACCUUUCUUGUCCCUCUCCUCAGGAGAUGGAACAAGGAAGCAGGAGGGCGAAAGGAGCGCCUAGGCGAGGUGCGAGAAGCAGAAGGCACCAAGAGAGCAUCCUGGUGCCGGAGCUAGAAGAUGAGGCAGCGACCCGACAAUACGCGACGAAGGCGUCGGUGCCCGCGUCCUCCGACUUGACGGCCGCCGCCCGCCUUCUUCGCCUUCUCUGGCCCUCCUCCGCCAGCCACCCAAGGAGGCGAUGGGGAACGCGCCGAUGGAGAGCUUGACGUGGAAGGCCCUCGGCUGGGCGCGUGGCCGAGGGAGGGGCGACGCGGUCAGUCGGAGUCGGGGUCGGCGUCCCACCGCUCGACGCCCUCGUUAUCGCUGUCGUUGUCCUCCUCGUCACUCCCUCUCGAGGAGGAAUCUUCAUCGUCGGAGGAGCUCUCCACGCAGCACUUCAGGCGAGUACCAAGAUCUCCGAAGACCUUGACGGAGAGCAGGUCGUCCUCCAUUAACUUGAAGUAGAGGACGAGCCCCGCCGUCAGGCUGUGGAUGCGAGCGAACAUCUUCCAUCCGCGAUAGAGGUACAUGACGUGAGGGGCGGGGAAGUCGACGUCGACCCGCGUGCCGCCAUUCCCGCAGCCCCUCAUGUGCAACCUGAGGGUCUGGGGUGGAUCGAGGUCCAUCUCCCGAGCAAAUGGGGUAGGGAGACGGAGGCGGCGACGCAGUGGCCGGCGCAACCUGAUGAAGAACUCGCAGGGCUGGUCCCCGAUGUGUCGUCCAUCGGGGGAGGCAUCGCUGGCGGGGGCGAGGCCGGAGCUCCGCCCCGUCCCCCUCUUCCCUGAGUGCCACGGCGACCUCGGCCUCGCCCCCUCCCCCUUCCUGUCGUGGCUGCUUCCGCCGCCACAAGUUCUUGAGAAAGAGGAACUGCUACCUCUUGAGCACUGCGUUGGUUUUCCCUUGAAGAGGAAAGGGUGAUGCAUCAAAGUAGCGUAAGUAUUUCCCUCAGUUUUUGAGAAUCAAGGUAUCAAUCCAGUAGGAGGCCACGCACGAGUCCCUCGCACCUACACAAACAAAUAAAUCCUCGCAACCAACACGAUAAGGGGUUGUCAAUCCCUACAAGGUCACUUACGAGAGUGAGAUCUGAUAGAUAUGAUAAGAUAAUAUUUUUGGUAUUUUUGUGAUAAAGAUGCAAAGUAAAGAAAACAAAAUAAAAACGGCAAAAGAAAUAGCUUGUUGUUGGAAGAUUAAUAUGAUGGAAAAUAGACCCGAGGGCCAUAGGUUUCACUAGUGGCUUCUCUCAAGAGCAUAAGUAUUUUACGGUGGGUGAACAAAUUACUGUUGAGCAAUUGACAGAACUGAGAGGAGUUAUGAGAAUAUCUAGGUAUGAUCAUGUAUAUAGGCAUCACGUCCGAGACAAGUAGACCGACUCCUACCUGCAUCUACUACUAUUACUCCACACAUCGACCGCUAUCCAGCAUGCAUCUAGAGUAUUAAGUUCAUAAGAACAGAGUAAUGCUUUAAGCAAGAUGACAUGAUGUAGAGGGAUAAACUCAUGCAAUAUGAUAUAAACCCCAUCUUGUUAUCCUCGAUGGCAACAAUACAAUACGUGCCUUGCUGCCCCUACUGUCACUGGGAAAGGACACCGCAAGAUUGAACCCAAAGCUAAGCACUUCUCCCAUUGCAAGAAAGAUCAAUCUAGUAGGCCAAACCAAAAUGAUAAUUCGAAGAGACUUGCAAAGAUAACCAAUCAUACAUAAAAGAAUUCAGAAGAUUCAAAUAUUGUUCAUAGAUAAACUUGAUCAUAAACCCACAAUUCACCGGUCUCAACAAACACACCACAAAAAGAAGAUUACGUCGAAUAGAUCUCCACAAGAGAGGGGGAGAACAUUGUAUUGAGAUCCAAAAAGAGAGAGGAAGCCAUCUAGCUAAUAACUAUGGACUCGAAGGUCUGAGGUAAACUACUCACACAUCAUCGAAGAGGCUAUGGUGUUGAUGUAGAAUCCCUCCGUGAUAGAUGCCCCCUCCGGCGGAGCUCCGGAACAGGCUCCGUAUCUGGUAGUUUGGGGUACGUAGGUAUAUAUAGGAGGAAGGAGUACGUCGGUGGAGCAACGUGGGGCCCAUGAGGGUGGAGGGCGCGCCCAGGGGCGUAGGCGCGCCCCCCUACCUCGUGGCUUCCUGGUUGAAGUCUUGACGUAGGGUCCAAGUCCUCUGGAUCACGUUCGUUCCGAAAAUCACGUUCCCGAAGGUUUCAUUACGUUUGGACUCCGUUUGAUAUAGUUUUUCUGCGAAACUCUGAAAUAGGCAAAAACAGCAAUUCUGGGCUGGGCCUCCGGUUAAUAGGUUAGGCCCAAAAAUAAUAUAAAAGUGUAUAAUAAAGCCCAAUAAUGUCGAAAACUGAAGAUAAUAUAGCAUGGAGCAAUCAAAAAUUAUAGAUACGUUGGAGACGUAUCAAGCAUCCCCAAGCUUAAUUCCUGCUCGUCCUCGAGUAGGUAAAUGAUAAAACAGAAUUUUUGAUGUGGAAUGCUAUUUGGCAUAAUUCCAAUGUAAUCUUCCUAAUUGUGGUAUGAAUAUUCAGAUCCGAAAGAUUCAAGAUAAAAGUUCAAUAUUGCCGUAAAAAUAAUAAUACUUCAAGCAUACUAACUAAGCAAUUAUGUCCUCUCAAAAUAACAUGGCCAAAGAAAGUUCAUCCCUACAAAAUCAUAUAGUUUAGUCAUGCUCCAUUUUCGUCACGCAAGAAUGCUCUCAUCAUGCACAACCCCGUUGACAAGCCAAGCAAUUGUUUCAUACUUUAGUAAUCUCCAACUUUUUCAACCUUCACGCAAUACAUGAGCGUGAGCCAUGGAUAUAGCACUAUGGGUGUACUAGAAUAUGAUGAUGGGGGUUAUGUGGAGAUGACAAAAAAGGAUAAAGUCUCACAUCAACAAGGCUAAUCAAUGAGCUAUGGAGAUGCCCAUCGAUUGAGGUUAAUGCAAGGAGUAGGGAUUGCCGUGCAACGGAUGCACUAGAGCUAUAAAUAUAUGAAAGCUCAGCAAAAGAAACUAGGUGGGUGUGCAUCCAACUUGCUUGCUCACGAAGACCUAGGGCACUUGAGGAGGCCCAUUGUUGGAAUAUACAAGCCAAGUUCUAUAAUGAAAAAUUCCCACUAGUAUAUGAAAGUGACAAAACAAGAGACUCUCUAUCAUGAAGAUUAUGGUGCUACUUUGAAGCACAAGUGUGGUAAAAGGAUAGUAACAUUGUCCCUUCUCUCUUUUUCUCUCAUUUUUUUGGGCCUUCUCUUUUUUGUAUGGUCUUUCUCGUUUUUUUUAUUCAUCACUUGGGACAAUGCUCAAGAAAAUGAUCAUCAUCACACUUCUAUUUAUUUACAACUCAAUGAUUACAACUCGAUACUAGAACAGAGUAUGUCUCUAUAUGAAUGCCUAAUGCGGUGUACCGGGAUAUGCAACGAACCAAGAGUGGCAUGUAGGAAAGAAUUACGAACGGUGGCUUUGCCACAAAUACUAUGUCAACUACAUGAUCAUGCAAAUGGUGGCUUUGCCACAAAUAAUAUUACGAACGUGUCAUGAUAAACGGAACGGUGGAAAGUUGGAUGGCAAUACAUCUCGCAAUGGCUAUGGAAAUGCCAUAAUAGGUAGGUAUGGUGGCUGUUUUGAGGAAGAUACAACGAGGUUUAUGUGUGAAAGAGCAUAUCAUAUCACGGGGUUUGGAUGCACCGGCGAAGUUUGCACCAACUCUCAAUGUGAGAAAGGGCAAUGCACGGUACCGAAGAGGCUAGCAAUGAUGGAAAGGUGAGAGUGCGUAUAAUCCAUGGACUCAACAUUAGUCAUAAAGAACUCACAUACUUAAUGCAAAAAUCUACAAGUCAUCAAAAACCAAGCACUACGCGCAUGCUCCUAGGGGGAUAGAUUGGUAGGAAAAGACCAUCGCUCGUCCCCGACCGCCACUCAUAAGGAGCACAAUCAAAGAACACCUCAUGUUUCAAAUUUGUUACAUAACGUUUACCAUACGUGCAUGCUACGGGACUUGCAAACUUGAACACAAGUAUUUCUCAAAUUAACAACUACUCAACUAGCACAACUUUGAUAUCACUACCUUCACGUCUCAAAACAAUCAUCAAGCAUCAAACUUCUCUUAGUAUUCAACACACUCAUAAGAAAGUUUUUACUAAUCUUGAAUACCUAGCAUAUUAGGAUUAUUUAAGCAAAUUACCAUGCUAUUUGAGACUCUCAAAAUAAUUUAAGUGAAGCAUGAGAGAUCAAUAGUUUCUAUAAAACAAAUACACCACCGUGCUCUAAAAGAUAUAAGUGAAGUACUAGAGCAAAAACUAUAUAACUCAAAAGAUAUAAGUGAAGCACAUAGAGUAUUCUAAUAAUUUCUGAAUCAUGUGUGUCUCUCUCAAAAGGUGUGUACAUGAAAUAUGAAUGUGGUAAACUAAAAAACUAAAGACUCGAAUAAUACAAUACGCUCCAAGAAAAACACAUAUCAUGUGGUGAAUAAAAAUAUAGCUCACAGUAAAGUUACCGAUGGAAGUAGACGAAAGAGGGGAUGCCUUCCGGGGCAUCCCAAAGCUUUGGCUUUUAGGUGUCCUUAGAUUAUCUUGGGGGUGACAUGGGCAUCCCCAAGCUUAGGCUCUUGCCACUCCUUGUUCCAUAAUCCAUCAAAUCUUUCACCCAAAACUUGAAAACUUCACAACACAAAACUAAGCAGAAAAUCUCGUGAGCUCCGUUAGCGAAAGAAAACAAAAGACCACUUCAAGGUACUGUAAUGAACUCAUUCUUUAUUUAUAUUCAUGUUAAACCUACUGUAUUCCAACUUCUCUCUGGUUUAUAAACUAUUUUACUAGCCAUAGAUUCAUCAAAAUAAGCAAACAACACACGAAAAACAGAAUCUGUCAAGAACAGAACCGUUUGUAGUAAUCUGUGACUAACACAAACUUCUGGAACUCCAAAAAAUCAGAUAAAAUAGGACGACCUAUACAAUUUGUUUAUUGAUCAGCAUAAUCUCAUAGUCGAAGGAAUAUGUAUUUGACAUCAAGAAAGCAAUGUCAAUAAACUGAACGACCAAUAUGCUAAGCUAACAUAUGGGUCUUGUCCAUCACAUCAUUCUCCUAAUGAUGUGAUCCCGUUAUCAAAUGACAACACAUGUCUAUGGUUAGGAAAUCUUAACCAUCUUUGAUCAAUGAGCUAGUCUAGUAGAGGCUUACUAGGGACACGGUAUUUGUUUAUUUAUUCACACAUGUAUUUAAGUUUCUGACCAAUACAAUUCUAGCAUGAAUAAUAAACCUUUAUCAUGAAUAAGGAAAUAUAAAAUAACAACUUUAUUAUUGCCACUAGGGCAUAUUUCCUUCAAAUUUGAGCACAGUAAAUUCAUUGGAACAAAAAUCUAUAUAUAUGGCGAGCGCUAUUCUCUGCCCGCCACAACUACAUUAUGUUGCAAUGCCGGCCAGCGGGGAGUGCCCGCCACUGCAGAGAUUCUAACAGGGGCGGGUGAUAACCCACAACUAUAUGGGGUCGCAACAGUUUUCAAGGCUGGACUAUUCAACCCAAAUUUAUUGAUUCGACACAAGGGGAGCCAAAGAAUAUUCACGAGUAUUAGUAGUUGAGUUAUCAAUUCAACCACACCUGUAAGACUUAAUAUAUGCGGCAAAGUAUCUGGUAGCAAAGUAGUAUGGAAGUAACAGUAACACUGGCAAAAGUAACAGUAGCUCUUUUGUAGUGAUUGUAACAGCAGUAGUAAAUGAAAGUAACUUAGCAAAGAUCAAUAUAUGAAAAGCGCAUAGGCAUUGGAUCGGCAAUGAUAAUUGUGUUGGAUAAUAUUCAUCAUGUAGCAGUUAUAACCUAGGAUGACACAGAACUAGCUCCAAUUCAUCAAUAUAAUGUAGGCAUGUAUUCCAUAUAUAGUCAUACGUUCUUAUGGAAAACCAACUUCCAUGAAAUCUUUUGUCCUACACUCCCGUGGCAGCGGGUCCUAAUGGAAACUAAGGGAUAUUAAGGCCUCCUUUAAAUAGAGAACCGGACCAAAGUAUUAGCAAUUAGUGAAUACAUGAACUCCUCAAACUAUGGUAAUCACCAGAAAGAAUCCCAAUUAUUGUCACCUUGGGGUAUGCGGAUCAUAACUCGUAAUAGGUGCCAACGACUUUUAAGAUAGGAUCAAGAACACAAAUAUAUUCAUGAAAACAUAAUAGGUUCAUAUCUGAAAUCAUGCCACUCGGGCCCUAGUGACAAGCAUUAAGCAUAGCAAACUCAUAGCAACAUGAAUCUCAGAACAUACUGGAUACUAUGGAUCAAACCCAAACAAAACUAACUUGAUUACAUGAUAAAUCUCAUCCAACCCAUCACCAUCCAGCAAGCCUACGAUGGAAUUACUCACGCAUGGCAGUGAGCAUCAUGAAAUUGGUGAUGGAGGAAGGUUGGUGAUGAUGACGGCGACGAAUCCCCCUCUCUGGAGCCCCGUACGGACUCCAUAUCAGCCCUCCCGAUGAAAAACAGGAGGCGGCAGCGGCUCCGUAUCGUAAAACGCGAUGAAUCGUUCUCUCUGAUUUUUUCUCCCUGAAUGGGAACUUAUGGAGUUGGAGUUAGGGUCGGAGGAAGUCCACUGUUCCCACAAGCCUGUAGGGCACGCCGCCAGGGCUUGUGGCCUCUGGGUGGCCCCCUCUGGUAACUUCUUGUGCUAGUAUUUUUUAUAUAUUACAUAAAAAUUCUCCAUAAAUUUUCAGGUCAAUCCGAGAACUUUGAUUUCCGCACAAAAAUAACACCAUGGCAAUUCUGCUAAAAACAGUGUCAGUCCGGAUUAGUUCCAUUCAAAUCAUGCAAAUUAGAGUAAAAAACAAGGGCAAAAUAGUUUGAAAAAGUAGAUACAAUGGAGACGUAUCAACUCCACUAAGCUUAACCCAUUGCUUGUGCUCAAGCAAUUUAGUUAAUAAACUGAAAGUGACAAAGAAAAACUUUUACAAACUCUGUUUGAUCUUGUUGUUGCAAAUAUGUCUAGCCAAUAUUCAGGUUUUCAGCAAAGAUUAUGAACUAACCAUAUUAACAAGAACAUUUACGUCUCACAUUUACUCAUAACAAUGGCAUAAUCAACUAGCGAGCGAUAAUAAUAAAUCUCAGAUGACAACACUUUUUCAAAACAAUCAUGAUAUGAUAUAACAAAAUGGUAUCUCGCUAGCCCUUUCUGAGACCGCAAAAGAUAAAUGCAGAGCACCCCUAAAGAGAAAGGACUGACUAGACAUUAUAAUUAAUGGCAAAAGAGAUCCAGUCACACUCAUACUCAACAUCAAUUAAAAACAAAGCAUAUAAAUGGCAGUGGUGCUCUCCAGCUGGUGCUUUUUAUGAGAGGAUGAUGACUCAACAAUAAAAGUAAAUAGAUAGGCCCUUCGCAGAGGGAAGUACGGAUUUGCAGAGGUGCUAGAGCAAGAAGCUUUUAAAACAUAGAUGAAUAUAAUUUUGAGCGGUAUGCUUUCAUUGUUGACAUAACAACCAAGAGAUCUCACUAUCUUCCAUGCUAGAUACAUUAUAGUCUGUUCCCAAACAAAAUGGUAAAGUUUUUACUCCCCCCCCCCCCACCAACAAUCACACUCGAGUGCUAGCCGAAUCCACGGGUACCGUCCAUACCAACAACAGUCCUGGGGGAGUUUUGUUUUAUGAUUAUAUUUUGAUUUGACUUUGAGCAUGGAACUGGGCAUCCUGAAUACCAGUCACAUUAUAUAGAAUGACAAGUGAAUAAACACUCAUCGUGAGAAUAACCCACCUAGCAUGGAAGAUACUGACAGCCCCCAAUUGCUAGAUCAGCGAUUUGGGCAUACAAAACAUAUCAUUAUUUGAAGAUUUAGAGUUUGGCACGUGCAAAUUUACUUUGAAACGGCAGGUAAAUACCGUAUAUAGGUAGGUAUGGUGGACUCAUAUGGAACAACUUUGGGUUUAAGGAAGCGGAUGCACAAGCAGUAUUCCCGCUUAGUACGAGUGAAGGUUAGCAAAAGAUUGAGAGCAAUAACGGUCAUAAACAAGCAUUGAGGUUAAGCAACAUUGAGUGAAAGCACGAGUAGGAUAUAAAUCACCAUGAACAUAAAUAUCGUGGAGAGCAACAACGGUCAUAAACAUGCAUUUUGAUUAAACUACAUGCGUGAACAUGUGCCAAGUCAAGCCACUUGAAUUGUUCAGAAGAGGAUACCAUCCUAUCAUACUACAUCAUAACCAUUUUAAAUACAUGUUGAAAUGCAAGAUAAACGAUUAUCCACUCCUAGCUAACUAAGCAUAGCAUGAGUAACAAUAAUCUCUAAUUGUCAUUGCAAAAAUGUUUCAUUCAUAGUGGGCUGAAUCAACAACGACGAGCUAAUCAUAUUUACAAAAACCAAAUAGGUCGGGUUCAUACCAGCUUCUUUCCAUCUCAAUCAUUUCGUCAUAUAUAAUCAUUAUUGCCUUUGACUUGCACGAUAGAACGGUGUGGAUAAUAAUAAGAGUGCACGUGCAUUGGACUAGGCUGGAAUCUGCAAACAUUUACUCAAAGGAGAAGACAAGGUAAUAUGGGCUCUUUGUUAGAUCAACAAUAAUGCAUAUGAGAGCGACUCAACAUUUUCAUCGUGGUCUUCUCCUUACGAUCCAAAGAAAAACAAAACAAUUUCAAAGAAACAAAAUGAAAUAUUUUUGAAGUUUUUUUUCUGAAGCAAGCAAAAACGAAAAUGAGAAAAACUAUUUACACGGGAAAGCUCCCAACAAGCAAAAGAAGAACGGGAAAUCUUUUUGGGUUUUCUUUUAAUGCUACAACUAAUUAAACUAGAAAGAAAAACUACAAAGAAGUGAGAAAUAUUUUUGGAUUUUAUCAAAGGUUUUCAAACACACAAGAAGAAAGCAAGAAAAAUAAACUAACAUGGAUAAUACAAUGAAAAAGUAUGAACACCGACAACUGGAAUGAGUGUGUGAACAUGAAUGUAAUGUCGGUGAGAAAUACGUACUCCCCAAGCUUUGGCUUUAGGCCUAAGUUCGUCUAGGGUCACAGCUAGAAAUAACUCUCUCCUCGAUACGGUGGAGGGUCCUUAGUGUUCCACUGGUUGGAGAGCUCCUGUGGCUUCCACUGAUAAACAGGCUCCUGAUACGGAUCAGGAACAGGUACUGGCUCAGGUGCUGGAGGUUGUGUCAGCCUCCAGUAAGUGUAAAUGUACUCGGGCAUAAUGGUGUACCUUCCCGAACGAAUAUCGAACAAAGAAGGUGCAGGCAAGACAAUAAUCUCACAAGUGCCCUAACUAAAUACUAGGUUGUAGAGGAGUCUAUUAUCAUCGUCCUUUUUAAUAAAAUCGUGUGCUACCAUACUAGCAUAGUUUAAAUAUUUAGUUGGUAACAACAUAUCCUCCUCCUCAUCAUGCCUAAUGGGUAUAUCAAAAUGUUUAGAAAGACGGGAGGCAUAGAUACCUCCAAAUAAAGUACCCUUCGAGUGAUUUGUGUUUAACCGUCUGUCGGUGUACAAAAGUAGGGCUCUCCUUUUGACCCCUUUAUUUGUGUACGGGCAGUCAGAGCAGCGCGCCGCGGCCGCACAUAGCAGGGCAGAGGAGGGAAGCCGGAGGGAAACCGAAGCACAAGGCAAACAAGGCGACGCCAAGACCAGAAGCAUAAAAGAGCAAAGGGGCGAGGUGGACUCCCCCGGCAGGACCCUUGUCGGGGCAGCCUCCGCGGCCCCGUCAAGAGCCUUGCCGGGGCAACUUGCCCAACGUCAGCGGAGUGAGCCACCCUUGAGCCCAAGGGUUCCAAACGCCGCCAACAACUACAUUGAACCCAGGGCUCGGGAGGCACCUCUGUGGUGGCAUGCAGAUCUUUGUCAAGAUCAUAAAUACAUGAGGUCAGAUGAGAACCAGAAGACGACGACCCUCGGCGGGAUUCUAGCCGAGGAAAUCCACAAGACCCUCGGCAAGCGCCUUGCCGGGGACGACCGCAGCGCCACGGCAAGACCCUUGCUGGGCCCCUUGGCAAGACCCUUGCCGAGGGAAUCAGCAGGGCCACAGCCAGGCCCGCACCAGCCAAGACUCCACCGCCGUCCCCAAGCAGCUGCUAGCCCAACCAGCUGGGCAGGCACCUGCGUGGCGACGGGCGGCCACUACACCGACCCAGCAAGCACCUGCGUGGUGGCAUGCAGAUCUUCGUGAAGGCUCCACCACCGCGCCACCUCAGCAGCCUGCCUGCCCACAUGGCGCUUCACGCAUCACUGGCCUGGGCGCAUGUCGAAGCGAGGCAGAGCGGCGGCGGACGGGUCGGGCCUCGUUCCCGUCCCCGAUAAAACUAAUGGACACCUAAGUAGCACAUUUAAUGCGCUUUGUUCUCGUUCCCAUGCGAUAAGCUCGCGCACUGUACACCUUUCCACCUCCUGUGUGCCACUGUGGAGACCCCUUUUGCCUAUAAAAGGAGGCCCGAGGCGACUAGGAGAAGGAUUUGGCUCUUUGGAACUACGCAACCACCAUAGCUAGUUUGAGAGCUCAGGAACACUUUGAAAUACACACCAAAGCAGGACUAGGGUAUUACCAAUCCUCGCGGCCCGAACCUGGGUAAACGAUCUUUGUGCUAGCUCCUAAACCUGCUCUUCUCACAACCCCGCGCCCGCCAACCGUAGAAGGGAUCCCAGUGAUCCCAUAGGUGUCAUUUCCCCGACAUCUUUGGCGCACGAGGUAGGCGUGACGCGGUUGUGAGAAUCUGGUCUAGCAGUUAGCCUAGCAGUUCUUCAUCACCAUGGCUCCCAAGAAAAGGACGAUCACGGCGAUCGGCUCGACGGGAGCCGAACGGCGCGUGCCAGUGCGGGCGAGCAGCGCGCCAGUCGCAGACAAAACCCGAGCCGCGGCCCGCGAGCACCAGCAUUGCUCUGGCAGUCAGAGCCUAGCGAGCGGCAUCGUUCAUGCGCUAGACGAUGGGCCGCACACCGCCAAAUCCAAAGACGGGGCUGGGCCCCCCGCAGGCGGCGCGGGGCCCUCCAGGGGUGUCGCUGGGCCACCUACGGGUGGCGCAGCAACCUCCAAGACGCCUACACCGGCGACCACGAUCCGCUCUUCCCAUGGUGCGCACGACGAGCAGCGCCACCAUGCUGGGGACCCCGGACGCCGCCGUGGGAAGAGUCAUGUGCCUCAUUCACGGGACGAAGGAGUCCAGCAUGCCCGUCAAAGUGCUGGCAAAAAUGGCACGCAGCCGUUGGGCCGUGAUAGAGCUCCUUCUAACGUGGUUAGAAUUCGAAGCACGCCACGGUCCACGCAGCUCUCGCCGCCACCCACACCAGCAAAAGCUUUGGCGCUUGCGCAGCUACUCCUCGACUUCCCUCCCACUGCGGAAAAGCUCGAUGAGUGGAGGGCCACCAUCCGGAGCCUUGUCAGCGUCGCCAACCAAGACAAGCCACGACCAGCGGGGCCCUCAGGCCGUCGCUCCGUCGAACCACCGCAUGCCAGCGGUGGAGGGGCCGGAGGUGCUGCGGCCACGGUGCACUCUCCUCCUCCACGGCAGCCACCACGGAUGUCGAUCCGUCGUGAUGACGCUUGUGAUAACAUUUCCAUAGCGUCGUCCGACCCACGGACCCACUGCGACCAGCGCCAUGUUCUUUAGGAACGAGCCCAUGAAGACGCUCGAACCACCAUCGAGCACCGGUGCGAUACACGCCACCAGUCAGAUAGGCGGGUGGGGCCUGCUAUGGACCACCCAGCACCGGGAGGCUCCGGCGACCUACCUUACGAGGUGGGUUGCCCAGCCUUUACCCGUGAGCUGCGGCAGUUCCAGUGGCCAUCCCACCGCAUGUUCAAGCCCGACGUCAGCGAGAAGUACAAUGGAAAGACCCAUCCAUCAGAGUUCCUCAGCAUCUACACCAUCGCAAUGCAGGCCGCUGGAGCUCGUGAUGACAAGGUGCUUGACAAUUACUUCCCGUUGGCCCUGAAGCCCAAUGUCAUGUCUUGGUUGAUGCACUUGCUGGCGGAUUCCAUUUCUUCUUGGUCGUAUCUGUGUCAUGAGUUUGUUGGUUCCUUCACUUGAGGCCACCAAGCUCAUGGCCAGGCGAGUGAUUUGCAUAUCAUUCCCCAGAAGGAAGGUGAAAACCUGCGGAAGUACAUACAGAGGUUCCGCCGAGUGCAAUACAACAUCACAGAUGUUCAUCCCGCCGCCGUGAUCAGCACAUUCCAUCAGAAUGUGCGUAACUGCAAGAUGCGCGAAGAGCUGGCGAUGAACAAGGUCAAGGAUGUGGCCGAACUUUAUGUUCUGGCUGAUAGAUGCGCCUGGGCUGAAGAGGGAAGGAAGUACCCCGGUGAGGACGCUGGCACGGAAACCAACUCUAUGGACGAAGAAACCGCCGCCCCGACAAAGAAGGGCCGGCGCCGCAACAGGAAACGCAAGGAUAAGACCGUGCUUGCCGUCGAGGGAUCCGAGGACACCGGCGCUGCCAAGAAGGCCAAGGCAGACGACCCCGGCAAGGAAAUAGCCGGGUGCGCCGCUUGCCGGGCCUUGGCGGCUGCCGACAAGCCAGGAGGCUCCGGCAAGCAAUACUGCAAGAUCCACCGCACCAAGGGCCACGACCUCUAGAACUGCCGGCAAGUUGAGCUGCUUGCUGAGAAGCAAAAAGCUGAGUAUGAGAGGCGGGACAAGGAGAAGGGCCAGGACGGUGCCGAGGGAUCCGACAAGAAGCAUGGCGGCCAAGGAGGUCGCCGCGGCAAGGAUAACCAACAAGAGAGGCCUGCUCGGGGCCGCGACAAGAAGCAGGAAGACGAUGAUCAUGACGAGGACGACGAGUCCGGAUAGCAUGAGUUCCAGAAGGCUUUGGAGGCCAUGUGCGUCGAUGGUGGCGCCUCGCUGCAUACUUCUCACCGCCGUCUCAAGCAGUGGGCGCGUGAGAUCACAGCAGCGGAGCCGGCGUUCGACGCUCAGAAGCCGCUAAAGUGGUCCAGCAUACCUAUCAUCUUUGACGCCGAGGACCACCCUCAUUGCACCACUGCGGUUGGGUGUUUUCCAUUGUUGGUCUCACCAACGAUACGCAACCUCAAGGUGAACAAGAUGCUGGUUGACAGCGGGGCCGGUCUGAACUUGAUCUCACCCGUUUUGAUCAAAAGGCUGCAAAUUCCUGAUAGAGACCUCGAAGAGACGGGCACGUUUCAAGGGGUCAACCCGGGAAGGAGUCAGCCGAAGGGCAAGGUCACGCUGCCUGUGACGUUUGGAGGCAAGCUGAACUACAUGACGGAGAGGAUUGUCUUCGAUGUAGCCGAGAUCCCCUUGCCCUACAACGGGAUCCUGGGCCGCCCGGCACUAGCCAAGUUCAUGGCGGCAUCACAUUACGCCUACAACACGCUGAAGAUGCCUGGGCCGAUGACCAUCAUCACCGUUCCUUGCGACAAGAAGGAUGUGCUGAUCUGCGCCGACCUACUCUACCGGGAAGCAGUUGUUGCAGCUGCCGCCAAGGCACUUGCUCCUGCCGCUGAAGCCCUCUCGCACCCACUCCGGCAAGCGCACCUCUUCUGACUGUUGUGCUACCAUCGAGGACAUGCCAGAGAGCUCCACUGGCAAGAGCAAGAAAUCCAGAGUUGCGCCACUAGAGACCAAGAAGGUGUCUGUCAAGGAGGAUGGCAAGGGAGGGGCUUUCACCAUAAGCUCCACCCUCGAUAGCAAAUAGGAAAGCGUGCUCGUCACUUUCCUGCGGGCGAAUGUCGAUGUGUUUGCAUGGCAAGCAUCUGACAUCCCCGGUGUUCCCAGGGAAGCGAUUGAGCACCGUCUUGCCGUCUGCCCCCAUGCGCGACCCGUCAAGCAGAAGGUCAGGAGCAAGCUUUGGAAUGGCAGGAGUUCAUCACAGAGGAUAUCAGGAAGUUGGAAGCAGCAGGCUUGGUGAGGGGAGUGCUCCAUCGGACGUGGUUGGCCAAUCUGGUGGUGACGUGCAAGGCAAACGGGUAGUGGAGGCUGUGUAUUGACUACACAUAUAUCAAUAAGGCUUGUCCUAAGGACCCCUUCCCCUUGCCGCGCAUCGACCAGAUUGUUGACUCCACGGCGGGUGUGAUCUGUUGUCAUUCCUCGACGCCUACUCGGGUUACCACCAGAUCUUCAUGACAAGAGAUGACAAAGAGAGGACAGCAUUCAUCACCCCAUGUGGUACGUAUUGCUUUUUACGGAUGCCUUUCGGGUUGAAGAGUGCUGGCUCAACGUUUGUAAGGGCAGUCCAAAUUGGUUUUGAGCCCCAGCUACAUAGAAAUAUGGAAGCUUAUAUGGAUGACGUAGUGGUCAAAACCAAGGACAAGGCAACUCUUGUACAAGACUUAGAAGAGACGUUAGCCAACCUACGCAAGAUCAGCCUCAAGCUGAACCAUGAGAAGUGUGUCUUCGGCGUUUCGUCCGGCAAACUUCUCGGGUUCUUUGUGUCGCAGCGUGGGAUCGAGGCAAACCCAGACAAGAUCAAGGCUAUCAAGUAGAUUGAGGCGCCCAAGCGGAUCAAGGAUGUGCGUCGGCUCACUGGCUGCGUUGCCGCCAUGAGCCAAUUCAUCUCCAUGUCUGCCGAGCGCGCCCUUCACUUUUUCAAGAUUUUGAAAAAGGCGGGCCCAAUGGAGUGGACCCCGGAGGCCGAAGCAGCACUGCAGGAUCUGAAGAAAUACCUCUCUUCUACACCGGUACUGGUGGCGCCUGAUACGUCUCCAACGUAUCUAUAAUUUAUGAAGUAUUCAUGCUAUUAUAUUAUCUGUUUUGGAUGUUUAUGGGCUUUAUUAAACACUUUUGUAUUUUUUUGGGACUAACCUAUUAACCUAGAGGCCAGUGCAUGUUCCUAUGUUUUCCCUUGUUUCAGUGUUUCGAAGAAAAGGAAUAUCAAACGGAGUCGAAACGGAAUGAAACCUUCUGGAGAAGUUAUUUCUAGAAAGAAAGCAACCCGGGAGACUUGGAGUCCAUGUCAAGAAAUAAACGAGGAAGGCACGAGGCAGGGGGCGCGCCCUCCACCCUCGUCGGCCCCUCGUGGCUCCUCCGACGUAUUUCUUCCGCCUAUAUAUAUAUCCAUAUUUCCUAAAACGAUUGGGUAACAGAAUAGAUCGGGAGUUCCGCCGCGGCAAGCGUCUGUAGCCACCAAAAACCAAUCGGGACCCUGUUCCGGCACCCCGCCGGAGGGGGGAGCCCUCAACGGUGGCCAUCUUCAUCAUCCCGGCGCUCUCCAUGACGAGGAGGGAGUAGUUCACCCUUGGGGCUGAGGGUAUGUACCAGUAGCUAUGUGUUUGAUCUCUCUCUCUCUCUCUCUCUCGUGUUCUUGAUUUGGCACGAUCUUGAUGUAUCGCGAGCUUUGCUAUUAUAGUUGGAUCUUAUGUUGCUUCUCCCCCUAUACUCUCUUGUAAUGGAUUUAGUUUUCCCUUUGAAGUUAUCUUAUCGGAUUGAGUCUUUAAUGAUUUGAGAACACUUGAUGUAUGUCUUGCGUGGGAUAACCAUGGUGACAAUGGGUUUUUCUAUUGAUUCACUUGAUGUAUGUUUUGGUGAUCAACUUUCGGGUUCCGCCCAUGAACCUAUGCAUAUGGGGUUGGCACACGUUUUCGUCUUGACUCUCCGGUAGAAACUUUGGGGCACUCUUUGAGGUUCUAUGUGUUGGUUGAACAGAUGAAUCUGAGAUUGUGUGAUGCAUAUCGUAUAAUCAUACCCACGGAUACUUGAGGUGACAUUGCAGUAUCUAGGUGACAUUAGGGUUUUGGUUGAUGUGUGUCUUAAGGUGUUAUUUUACUACGAACUCUAGGGCUGUUUGUGGCACUUAUAGGAAUAGCCCAAUGGAUUGAUCGGAAAGAAUAACUUUGAGGUGGUUUCGUACCCUACCGUAAUCUCUUCGUUUGUUCUCCACUAUUAGUGACUUUGGAGUGACUCUUUGUUGCAUGUUGAGGGAUAGUUAUAUGAUCCAAUUAUGUUAUUAUUGUUGAGAGAACUUACACUAGUGAAAGUAUGAACCCUAGGCCUUGUUUCCUAGCAUUGCAAUACCGUUUGUGCUCACUUUUAUCAUUAGUUACCUUGCUGUUUUUAUAUUUUCAGAUUACAAAAACCUAUAUCUACCAUCCAUAUUGCACUUGUAUCACCAUCUCUUCGCCGAACUAGUGUACCAAUACAAUUUACCAUUGUAUUGGGUGUGUUGGGGACACAAGAGACUCUUUGUUAUUUGGUUGCAGGGUUGCUCGAGAGAGACCAUCUUCAUCCUACGCCUCCCACGGAUUGAUAAACCUUAGGUCAUCCACUUGAGGGAAAUUUGCUAUUGUCCUACAAACCUCUGCACUUGGAGGCCCAACAACGUCUACAAGAAGAAGGUUGCGUAGUAGACAUCAAGCUCUUUUCUGGCGCCGUUGCCGGGGAGGUGAGUGCUUGAAGGUAUAUCUUUAGAUCUUGCAAUCGAAUCUUUUUGUUUCUUGUUUUAGCACUAGUUUAGUUUAUAAAAGAAAACUACAAAAAAAUGGAAUUAAGUUUGCCUCAUACGCUUCACCUUUUUAAUAUCUUUCGUGAGUGUGAUGGAAAGGAAAAUUAUGCCAAAGUGUUAGAAGAAGAAUGCAUUAAAAUGUUUGGCACUAAAUUUUUGAAUGAUGAGCAUGAUUGCAAUGUUGUUAGUAUGAACUCCUUGAAUAUCCUUGGUACUAACGAUGAUUGCACUAGUCAUGAUGAAAAUGUCUCCUAUAAACAUGUCAAUUUUGGUGGAGUGCAUUGGGUUUGCAAAUAGACACUGAAUAGGGAAGAUAGAUAUUGCAAGAGGCAUAAGCAUUUAGAAACUAAAUUGUUGCAAGAAAGGCUAGAUGUUUGCGCUGAAAAUUUAAUUUUUCUUGGCCAUACUUGUGAACUUUGCAAUGAACGAGGUCAUUUAACUAUCCGAUGCAAAUUGUUUCAUGAUCUAAUCGUGUCCAAAAAUUGGGAUGACUUGAUUUCCCUUGCACAUUAUAAUGAACUUAGUUUGCUUAUGGGUUAUGAAGAAAUGAAACGUAUAACUAACUAUCUUCCAGUAUUUGCCCGUGACAAACUUGUUGGUUUUGAUCUAGAGGAAAUUUAUAUGUAUUGUGCGGUGAAUUGCAUUGAAAAUCCUUAUAUUUCCAAUUACAUAAAGAAAAGAAAACAAAUAGAAGAUGAAGAGAAUGCUAACGAAAGGGAAGAGACUUCCCGAUAUUCUCCUAUUAUUUCUUAUGAUAAAUCAGGUAACGAGGAGGAGCCUUCUAUUCAACCAAUCUCAUUAAUAAGGAACUCCAAAAAGAGGAUUGAAUCCACACAUGAUGUGGUGAAGAAGAAGAAAAGAAAAAGGAGGAGAGGUAAAAAGAUAUCUCUCCCAAAUAAUGUUGCUCCUAUUAUUGUUGUGCCUCAUGAAAAUGAAGAUGAUGCACUUGAUGAUGAUCUCGUUAUGCCUAUUGCUUGUUGUGAUGAUUAUGAUUGGGAAGAUAAUGAUACUUCUUAUGAUCUUGAAUAUCUUUUUGGCACUUGCUUGGAAUAUGAUAAUUGCUAUACUAUUGGCGUUAUCCAUACUAUUAAUGAUGAGAGUGAUUAUGCUUAUGAUAUAAAAAGGCCCAAGCUUGGGGAUGCUAUGUUUGAUGAUUAUGAUGUUCUUGAGAAUAUAUUUGCUGAAAUUAAUAUUUGUCCCAAGCUUGGGGAUGCUAUGUUUAAUGAAGAUGAUAUUUUUAACCUCCCAAGUUUUGAUAUGCAAAGUUGUUAUGAUGAUGGCAUGCCUUCUACCUAUGAUGAUUAUAUUGAUGAAAGUGGGUUUGGAAGAGUGUCAACUUUAGGAAGUAAUGAUCCCACUAUUUUGGAGGAUGCUGAAUCUUAUAAUAUUUAUGGAAGUGGAUUUGGAGAGGUCAUGACUUUAUUUAGUGAUGUAUCCACUAUUUCGGAAGAGGUUUCAAUUGAUUAUGAUGAGAACAAAGUUGCUACUUAUGAUGAUUAUUGUGAUGAAACUUAUGCUAUAAAGACUAGUGAUGAUUAUAUUUAUAAAACUUGUCAUGAUUAUGAGUACCCUUUCUCUGAAUGUUACUCUUUUAAUGUGGAAACAAUUUAUAGUAUUCAAGUCUCUUAUGAUACUCCCACUAUUCCGAAUGAGAAGAAUUUUGCUUAUGUGGAGAGUAAUAAAAUUUCUAUGCUAGUAGAUCAUGAAAAUAAUGUUUUAGGUGAUGGUUAUAUUUUUGAAUUCAUUCAUGAUGAUACUGAAAAUUAUUAUGAGGGAGGAAUAUAUGCUUGUAGGAAUUGCAAUAAUAUCAGGUUUCCUCUCUAUGUGCUUAAGGUUUUGAAGUUAUGCUUGUUUUGCCUUCCUAUGCAAGUUGAUUCUUGUUCCCAUAAGUUGUUUGCUCACAAAAUCCCUAUGCAUAGGAAGUGGGUUAGACUUAAAUGUGCUAGUCAUAUUCUUCAUGAUGCUCUCUUUAUGUUUCAAUUCAUAUCUUUUAUGUGAGCAUCAUUGAAAUCAUCAUGCCUAGCUAGGGGCGUUAAACGAUAGCGCUUGUUGGGAGGCAACCCAAUUUUAUUUUAGUUUCUUGCUUUUUGGUUCUGUUUAGGAAUAAAGAAUCCAUCUAGCUUCUGUUUAGAUGUGGUUUUGUGCUUUAAUUAGUGUUUGUGCCAAGUGGAACCUUUGGGAAGGCUUGGGUGAAGUCUUUAUGAUCAUGCUGUAAAAAAACAGAAACUUUAGCGCUCACGAGUUUAGCUAAAACUUUGUACUGGAAAGAGCUAUUUAGUUGAUUAUUUUUGCAGAUGAUUACUAGACAAAUUCCUCAGGUCUACCAAUUUAUUAUAGAAUUUUUGGAGUUCCAGAAGUUUACGUUUGAUACAUAUUACUACAGACUGUUCUGUUUUUGACAGCUUCUGUUUUUCGUGUGUUGUUUGCUUAUUUUGAUGAAUCUAUGGCUAGUAAAAUAGUUUAUAAACCAUAGAGAAGUUGGAAUACAGUAGAUUUAACACCAAUACAAAUCAAUAAUGAGUUCAUUACACUACCUUGAAGAGGUGUUUUGUUUUCUUUCGCUAACGGAGCUUACGAGUUUUCUGUUGAGUUUUGUGUUGUGAAGUUUUCAAGUUUUGGGUGAAGAUUCGAUGGACUAUGGAAUAAGGACAACCAAGAGCCUAAGAGUGGGGAUGCCCCGGAUGGCAUCCCCAGUUUCGUCUUCGUUCAUCGGUAACUUUACUUGGAGCUAUAUUUUUAUUCCGACAUGAUAUGUGUUUUGCUUGGAGCGUCAUUUUAUUUUCUUUAGCUUUGUUGGUGUUUGAAUAAAAUACCAAGAUCUGAAAUUCUUAAAUGAGAGAAAGUCUUCACAUAGCUACAUAAUUAUUUAACUACUCAUUGAUCUUCACUUAUAUCUUUUUGGAGUAAUUUGUCAUUUACUCGUGUGCUUCACUUAUAUCCUAUGAGUAAAUGGUUGAAUGAUUUGAAUGUCAUAAAUCUGAAAUUAUAUAUGUUUCAUAUGCCUUUCCCACGGGGAGUAAUGCCUUCACAUAUAAGAAGUAGAGGUGGUAAAUUUAUUGAAGGUUAGCAAACAUUGUAUUGGUCACUUGAACAAUUCAUGAAAGAAUAUUGAAGGAAGAGAGAUUUCACAUAUAAAUAUACUAUCUUGGACAUCUUCUAUGAUUGUGAGCCCCAUUAAUUAUUUUCAAACCUGAGCAAAUUAGUUGAAGUUUGACAAGGAAGAUGACAUAAUGAGUUAUGCUUGGGUAUAUUUGUAUAGAAGUUAUAUUGUUAUGGAUCCUCUAACAUGUGGUGCUUGCUAUUUAGAAUCCUUUGCUAGCCAAAAUACAUGUACUAAGCGGGAAUACUGCUUGUGCAUCCAAAUUCCUUGAACCAAGUUUCUUCCAUGAGUGUCCACCAUAUCUACCUAUAUGCGGUAUUUACCUACCGUUCCAAGUAAAUUUGCAUGUGCCAAACUCUAAACCGUCAAAUAAUAAUCUGUUUUGUAUGCCUGAAUCGCUUAUGUAGCGACUAGGGGUUAGCAGUAUCUUCCAUGCUAGGUGGGUUAUUCUCACGAUGAGUGGACUCCGCUCAUCAUUCACGAGAAAAAUGGCCGGUAACUGGGAUGCCCAGUCCCAUGAUCCAAAGAUCGAAAUCAAAUAAAAAAUAAUUGCAAACAAAACUCCCCCAGGAUUGAUGUUAGUUGGAGGCACCCGUUGUUUCGGGCAAGCCAUGGAUUGAUGAUUGUUGGUGGAGGGGCAGUAAAAUCUUUACCUUUCUGUUUGGGAACCGCCUAUAAUGUAUGUACUAUGGAAGAUAUUGGGAACUCUUGGUUAUUAUGUUGACAAUGAAAGCAUACCUCUCAAAAUUAUUUUCAUCUCUGUUUUUGCUUCGAGCUCUAGAACCUGUGCAAAUCCCUGCUUCCCUCUGGGAAGGGCCUAUCUUUUACUUUUAUGCAAGAGUCAGUAGUAUUCCUUCUCAUUCCAACCUACUCUUUAGUUGUCAAGCAUCAUGUGAUGGAAAGAUCUAGGCAUAUAUGGCCAUUCAAAUAUAUUUGAGCAUGAAUUACUACUGUUGACAUUACCCCAGAGGUAAAAGGUUGGGAGACGAAACAUUAAGCCCCUAUCUUUCUCUGUGUUCGAUGAAUACUAUUUGUUCUAAAAAUAUGCUUUGAGUGGUAGCAAUCAUGGAAGACUAGUUGAGUAUGUGGGAUUUGCUAAAUCAAAGCUCUGACAUAGACUCUUCCUGAAAAUAAGAUGAAUUGCAAUUGUUUGAUGACUGAGAACAUAGUUUGUUAGUUUUCAAGAAAGUUUAUGAUCUAUACUUUAAAAGCCUAUGUUUUGCUACGUUCAUCAACUAUCCUGCUCGUAAGGGGUAUAGCUACCACCCACUUCAACGGAGGUAUUGACUGUUAGAUAGGUUGGUUAUCAUGUGUCAUCUCAAGAAGCUUUGGGCUCUUUGUCUAUCUCACCGAAGAUGGCAGCAUUGCCGCCUCCGGUGGUCCAUUUUGCUUCAUUUCGAUCCUCCCCGGAAUCUCCAGUGUCUGUUGGUGGCAAGUCCGGAUCCCCCGCCGGUUUGAAAUUUGUUGGACCAGCUUUCAUGGUCAUACCAGAUUCUCCACCGAUGGAUGGUCAUGGCCUUGACCAUGGACCUGGCUCUGAGCCUAGUACUUCUACCCUUCAGGCCAUUGUGAUAUCUAAUGAUGAGGAGGAUAGCCCAACCCAUAUGGACUCCACAGUUUUCGAGAAGGUUUCUCCAUCAACACAGGAUAUUGUCAGGGAUUUGCAGGGCUUUGAUAAGAUGAUUGAGAGCUUGGCUACCACGUUUUGGGACUGCCAAAAUUGUUUGGGUAUUGGGCCACUAGACUGAGACUUGCAAAAACCGGAUUAGGUGUAGGAAUUGUUUCCGGUCUGGUCACAUUAAACGGGAUUGCACCGGCCAACCACUCGAUUCCUCCUUCUGGGUGCCAAAAGUCCCAUCCAAAGGCUUUGGAGCCCGCGCCAAGAAAGACGACUCCCUGGUCUCUUCGGUUUCUCCAUGCUAGAUGCCUCCACCGCCCAAAAAUCCUCACUCAGCAUCGCCGCCAAGCCCUUGAUCAGCACCUACCGCUCCUGUUUCCUCUCCACCAGCAACUCCAUCACCUUCGUCCCCAAUGGCGGUCUACGCGAUCGAUCCACAUCAAUUCAUCCCUGCUGGCUAAGACAUCGUCGAUGGUGGAGAGGAUGGGCUUCCUCGGACCUACUACACGCCGGCAGUCCCACCACCUCGCUCCCAUGAGCAAUAUAUGGUUGCCAUUGUCGAGCCGCUCCCACCAGCUCACCUGGUUGCGAUUCGCAGACAGCAGGUUCUUCAUUUUCUUACCCAGACUCUGCAUGUACCUGUGCUCUCUACUCAUACUUGGUUUCAAGGGAUGGGGCCUUUUGAGAUGGAGGAUCCAGUAGUGCGUGGUUCGUUUACGCAGCACCCACCUUUUCCUCUGGGAGUGGAUGAGGAUGAGAGGAGUUUUUUGUCAGAUUUAUUCCGCACAACUAGGGAGAGGGUUUCAGGGCUAUCCAUAGUCAUAGGAAUGGUUGGCUCAUGUUCAUUGGAGUGCCAUUGGAUUAUCAUAAUACUUAGUGUCUGGCGGAUGUGGUUGGAACCUUUGGGAAGUUUAAUUAUUGGAAUCAAACAGAUCGUCGUCUUGUCCGAUCCCUUAUUCGAGUCUCUUUCCUGGAUAAUGCUCUGGCUCCAUGCUCUAUUGUUUUCCGGUACUUUCCAAAUUGGGGAGGAGCUGUUGUAUCUUGUACUGCUAGUUGCUUCAUUCUUACUGGAGAAUUUGCCGAUGCCAUGAUAUCUGCGGAUGAAGACCCGAUGAAAUUGGAUGGCAACCCACACCCAUUGCCAGGAGUGAACCCUCCGCAACCCUUUUGGGAUAUGCCACCAUAUCCAGCGCUCGGGUGGAAUGCAGUGCCACCAGAUCAUAACCAAGUUAACAAUGGCCAUAAUGCUGGUGGUUGGGGACAUAACAUGAACCAUGAUGCAGAAUGGGGCCCCUGGGAUGAGCAAAUUCAGCAGCCACCACAGCAGCAGGUCGAUGCACCAGAGCAGCAACAUGAGCAAGUCCAAGAGCAUAACUCCAUGGUUUUAAACCCCUCGUUAGACUCUAAUAAUGAGAUGGACAUGGAAGAUGUACAGCAGCCAGUCAAUAAUCUAGUCGCAUAGCAUCCCGUGGCACCGUUGGACAUGGAAGAUGUACAACAGUGAGUCAAUAAUAUAUCUGGUAGAGGUCUUUCAGGUCGCUCAUGCCUGAAUUUUUCAACUUGUGUUUGGCCCAAGAACUAUGGACAGAAAUUUGGAUAUCUGAUGCAGUACGCAGAACUGGCAACACCCAAAUCUUCUGUGGUCAUCGAGAAAAUUCAUUCUGAAUAUGUGGAGCUAGAUGCACCACAAGAUGACAGUUCAACCCCGCACCCUGCUGAGGACAUUUACUCACAGGACCCUGAAGAAGAUUUCCAGUUUUUGUCUGUUUUACCUGCUGUACUACUUGGCAAGCGGGGAUGUGAGAACAGAUGUGCACGCAGAGCAACCAUUGCAAUCGCCCACACUCUAGAUUUGUCCACCAGGCGCAUGAACCUGAAGAUGCAGCGCAGGCGAUACCUCCACCAACACCAAUUCCAAAGAUGCAGGCGAUAUGUGCUCAUUUGGAUAUCUCCGAAGAAUGGCUUACAUUGGAGAAGCUUACGGCUCCUCCAAAGAAAUCUUCUUCUGAUCAUGUGUCUGAUGAUGAGUGAACCUAGGUUUUAUGUUCACAGCCGGAGGGGUUGUACCCGGCAUAUUUUUUCUUUUGUUGGUGGCUACUUAUUAUUUAAACUUCUAGAUCCCUAUGCACUCUUGGUCCUUUUUGUUGUGGUUUCUUAUACUGCUUUGUUAUGCUUAGCAGUACUAGACUAAAUUAUGUUGGUUUCUUAUGGAUAGUACAACUUAUCGUAAUUGGCGUGUGCUUUGCUGGAAUGUCCGUGGUUUGAAUUCUGAAGCUCGUCAGAGAGAUGUGAGAGCAAAAAUCGAGGAAAGUCAGUGCUCUAUUGUAUGCUUGCAGGAG
rnacentral:lncRNA from 1 species